rnacentral:lncRNA from 1 species
CCAGCAGUGCUUGAGGCUCUGAGCAGUGGAGUUGGUGCAUCAGCUCUUGUGCCUGAAAUUCAUAGUAUCCCAACAGAUGAUGUUCUCAUUUCAUGGGCAGAAUUAGUGUGGGGAAUGAAUAUAGAGUUUCUGAAGCAGAGGUUUACCAUUAUCAACUAUGGAAAACUAAGUUCCACCAAGGAAGGGAGAGGGGUUGUGUUGAGAAAAAAUGGUAGUGAUGAGAACAUUAUGCACUUGCACUGGAAAGGAGAUGCAAAAACAAUUUUGGACAUGUGCUCACAUUACUCCAAAUGCAGAGGUGAAAUUCAUGGCAUUGAAGAUCAGAAAAGUGAAUUUGAGAAAGUGAUUAAAGAGAUGCAGGAUGACAGUCUCCAACCCAUUGCAUUUGCUUACAAGCAGACAGACGUCGAACAACUUGAGGAGGAUGGGUUGAUCUUAUUAGCACUAGUAGGAGUUAAGUACCAAUUUCAGGAAGAGAUGAAAUCAGUGGUCAAGAAUUUCCAAAGUGCUGGAAUAAGAAUCAAAUUGGUAUCAGAGAAUGAGCUGUCAACCUCAAGGGCCAUGGCUUGUGAGCUUGGAAUAUUUACUCCUGGUUCAAUCAAUGGGAUACUUGAAGGCCAAGAGUUCAGGGAACUGACAUAUGAUGCAAGGAAGGAAAGAGUUGAUCAGGUCACUGUAAUGGGAAGUUCUCUCCCUGAAGAUAAGCUUCUCAUGGUAAAGUCCUUGAAAGAAAAAGGGGAUGUAGUAGCAUACAUUGGAGGAUGGACAGGAAGAGAUGCACCGGUUUUGAAAGAAGCUGAUAUAGGGAUCACAGUUGGAACCUGGAGCACAGAAAUGACCAACGAGAUCUCUGACAUUGUUCUUGCUUCAGACAAGAGUUUCAGUUCACUAAUCCCAGUAUUGGAGUAUGGUAGACAUGACUACCACAAGAUUGGUAAGUUCAUUGAGAUUCAGCUCAUCAGUAACAUUUCUGUGUUACUGAUCACUGCUGUUGAAACAAUAUGCUUGGGAGACUCCUCAAUAACAAUUGUGCAAUUCCUAUAUGUAAAUCUGAUUUUGGGGCUUUUGGGUGGUCUGCUGCUUGGAAUGAAGCCACAAUGCAAGGAACUAAGGAACAAUCAACCUGACAAGAGAAAUGCAUCAAUUAUAACCAAGGAGAUGUGGAUAAACAUAUCACUACAAGUAUCCUAUCAGGCCAUAGUUUUGCUGGUGUUUCAGUUCAAGGGAACAGCUAUCCAUGGCACAAAUCCCAUGGACCGAAAAGCCAUGGUUUUCAAUGGUUUUAUCCUAUGCCAGGUCUUCAAUUAUGUCCAUCCCUUGUUCAAGGCAGGUAAGUACCCCUUUUGGCUGUUUUUAGUGCCAUUCACAGUCUUGCAUGUGGUGGUGGUUACUGAACUUUGGGGGGAGUUGAGUAGGGUGCAGUGGGCUUUCUGUUUCCUCAUUGCUGCAUUUGCAUGGGGGGUAAAUUUGGCUGCUGUUUUGAUCUCAAUCCUCAUCAAAUGGCAGUUUGGAUCAGCUGUUUUGCCUAAUGGGUUCUCAAGGCUGAUACCUCUUGCCCAAAGCCUGGAAUCCUCAUCUUCCACACCUUCUCUUCCAACCAGCCAUUGCCCAGCUUUUCUCCUAAAGUUUCAGUGUUGUUAAUGUGAAUGCAAUUUCGGUUACCUAUGGGUGCAUUGCUUUAGGACCAUUAUCUUUGUGUAUAGCCUUCUCUUCCCAACUUCUAUGUAAAUGUUACGACUCAAUACUACAUAACUUGGUCAAAAUAGUACAACAUUAAUGUUCGAAUGAUGAAUAGAUUCUAUAAUAUUUACGAUGUUUCAAACAUGAUUGAAAUAAUAUUUAGCACUAUAGUUAUAUGAUAUGUUACUGAGACUUCUAAGAUUGAGAUCUUUUACUUCAACUUUGUCAUAACAUAACGUUCUGCAAAUUUUAGUAUUUGACAGCAUGAAUUACCUAAAAAUUUCUAAGGGGGGUGAAGUGUACUUCCAAAUUUGGUACUAAGUAACUACGAUUUUUAUCAAUCUAAAACUUGAGAUUUCCAAUCAAGCAUUAAUGGAAAUGCUUCAACUAUGAAUCUCUUUGAGGAAAUUUAACAAACACUUAACGAGAGAUUAUAUAAUCAAUAUAAGACAAGCAGGAAUAUCUCACAUCACCGGCAAUAAUCAAGAACACUGAAAUUUAUAAUGGUUCAGACUCAAGUAUACUUCACUCUCACAAUCAAUAUAUGGGCAUUAUCACUUGGCUUAAAGCUGUAUCAACAACAAGAGCUUGGCCAAAAUUUUGAGUCCGAGGCUCAUAGUCUAUUCAAUUCCUUAACAACAUUGCAAGAAACUAAUACAAAAAAUACAAGAAUUUAACAAAUAAAUCAACUUACACAACAUCGAAGAAGCCUCAGUUAAAUAAACAAGGUGGAUUUUCCCUCAAGAUCAGUACAAGACCUUUAAUGAGAAAUAUGGGUUUUUACUUUUUAGAGUUCUUGCCCCAACGGUCAAUUUUUUUUAAAAUCCAUUGAAUGGGUCAACCCUAGCGGCCCAUAAUUCUAAUUUUAAGAGCUUAAGGCCCAUAAUUGAAUUUAAUAUAUCAGGCCCAUAACCGGUCGUGAUCUGAGGGCCAACGAUAUUCCUGGUGGGAUGCCUUUACGAUUUCUUUCUCUUCUCAUUUUCAUAAUAAUGUUCUAAUUUACUUAAUUUAUUUUAUCAAGCAUAUUUAAUUUGUUUAAUAAUUUAGUUUAAAUUAUUAAAUCAUUUUAAACCAUUAAAUUUAUUUUACCAAACACCUAUUGAUUCUAGCACUUUUCUUUCACAUGCGAUCAUAAUCCACGAUUUUGAAUGAAAAAAAAAAAAAAAAAAAAGCUGUUGUAAAAUCAAUAUCACACGUGGAGAUGGGUUGGUCUAACCACAGAGAUAUCACUUUCUUUCUUUCUAGAAACAAAUAAAUGGAAAAUCCAAAAAUGUCAAAGACGAAACUUUGAUUCAAACACUCAGACAUCCAAAGAAAAAAAAAAAAAAACGGUGAGCCUUGAAGUUUUAAUUUGUCAAAUAGAAAGGGAAAGGUAAUCAUCAGGUAGCGUCGGCCAGCCGUAUGAGUCUUGGACCAGGUGGUGUGCUUAAAGGGACAAUUUGGAUGUUUGGUAACAAUAAGAUACCUGCACCAUGGACCACCUUGGACUUUCAAGGAAUUGCAGAUGUCGGCCACCAAUAGCAUUCCUUGAACUGCAUUUUCUUUCUGCUUGCGUCACUGUGAGGAAGGACGUCACAUGAGCCGAGAAAAAUGAAAUGCCGUCAGUAGGGGAGACACCUCCAUUAAAACGCUAAAUCUUAAUGAUAUACCGAUAUUUUUAAUGCUAAUUAUCAUUCCUUUAAAAUUGCCCCAAAGUAAUAUAUUAUCAUUUCUUCUUAGUUGGUUUCCUACAAAAUAAUAUAUCAUAUUUUCUCAUGUCAUUGAUGAUUAGAUUUUUUUUUUAUUUUUGAAUCGGAUUAUUAUUACAAGGCACAAUUUAUUCAACAAUUGGAUAUGUGCUCAGAUUACUAUGAUUGUGAAGGUCAAAUCCAUGACAUUAAAAAUCAGAAAAGUGAAUUUGAACAAGUGAUAAAUGAGAUGGAGGACAAUGGUAUGAGGCCCAUUGCAUUUGCUUACAAGCAUACAGAAGUCCAAGAACUUGUAGAAGAUGGGUUGUGCUUGUUAGCAAUAGUGGGUGUUAAGUACCAGUGUCAUGAAGAGAUGAAAUUAGCAAUCAGGGCCCCCCACUAGUGCUGGGCACGGUUCAAAGUAUCAGUCGAGUCUAUCCACCUCGAGCCUCUCCGUGCCAAGUUCGAUACUUGAUACCCGAUACCAUCUGAAACUUAAACUCAAAUCAAGAAUUGUUUUAACCUCAGUGGACUCGAUUUGAGAUUCCGAGCUGACUAGGUCAAACCUUCCAAGUUACCAAAAUAAAUCAUUUUUUCACUUCGAAAUCAUAACAAAUGAACAACAAUUGAGAUCUAAACUUAAAAAACCUCUAAAAAAAUCAAAGAUUGCCUUCAAAAGGAAAAACUUUUCAACAACCAAGACCCAUGAUCCAUUAUGAAAAAGAAGAAAGACAUCGGUCUGACCAUGAGAGUUGGAGGUGUAUAAGAAGAGGAGGUUGAAGGCAUCACUAAUUGCAGAAUGGAUGUGGAGCGCUUUCAAUGGUGCCGUUGGGAAUGCAACAACAACUGUUGCCAUUUUCUCUCUACUUUUUUGGCCCUAUCUCAUCGUGGUGUGGGUGAGUCCUGUGAGUGAAUUGGUGAUAUUGAAAAAGGGUCGUGCGUGUGAAUUGGUUAUUUGAAGAAAGGAUAUUCAUAAUAUAUUAACUAAAAUUUUAAACUAUUAUGUCAUAUAGUAAUGAUUUAUUGUUUUAUAUAUUAAUGGUGUGAUAUAAAUUAUAUGUAGUGCAUUAUUUUAUAUGGUAAUGAUAACAUAUUUGGUGUAUUAAUUUCUUAUUAACAAUCUAUUCAAACCAUUCAAUUUGUUAUUAUAUUAACAUUAUUAAAAUCAUUUAAUUAAAAUUAAAAAUGGAAUUGAUGAUUGAAUUAUGUCUUUUAGUAAAAAUAUUAUUACAUGUGAAAUAAAAUAAUUUAAAAUUUUUAAUGUUAUUGUAAAUUGCUUUCUACAAAGGCUUAAUAAUUAUUUAAAUAAUUUUAAACCUGAAAUAAAUUUUAUUUUAUAAUUUUUUAAAUUUAUUUAAUUAUAUUUAUUUUCCUAAAAUUUUUUAUAAUAUUUUUGUAAUUUAAAAAAAAAAUUAACUAUCAUAUUUUGCGUAUCACCAAUACUGAGCCGAGACACCGAGAUCGAUGUGCCUCGGGAAUGUCCGAGUUAAUGACCGAUACCAUGACUUUGAACCAUGGUGCUGGGGAAGCAUCAAACUGGUGUCCAAAGAUAAGCUAUCAACCUUGAGAACCAUGGCUUGGGGGCUUGGAAUAUCUAGUCCUGGUUCAACCAAGGCAGCACUUGAAGCCCAGGAGUUUAGGAAACUGUCCCCUGAUGCAAUGGUGGAGAAAGUUGAUCAGAUCACCAUGGUGGGAAGUUUGUGCCCCGAGGAUAAGCUUCUCAUGAUAAAGUCCUUGAAGCAAAAAGACAAUGUAGUAGGAUUCAUUGGAGGAUGGACGACAAGGGAUACACCAGUUUUGCAAGAAGCUGAUGUAGGGAUCACCAUUGCAACUUGGAGCACAGAAAUGACCAAAGAGAUUUGUGAUAUUGUUCUCACUUCAGGCAGCACUUAAACACAAUAUUAGAGUCUGGUGGACAAGAAUACAAGAAGAUUCAGAAGUUCAUCUAGAUUCAGAUCAUCAGUAACAUUUCUGCUUUACUGAUCACUACAAUUGAAACAAUAUGUUUGGGAGAAUCCUCCACAACAAUUUUGCAAGUCCUUUAUCUGAAUUUGGUUUUGGCGGUUUUAGGUGGUCUAAUGCUUGUAAUGAAGCUACGGCACAAGGAACUAAGCAACAAUCAAGUUGGCAAGAGAAACAAAUCAAUUAUAACCAAGUUGAUGAGGAUAAACAUACUGGUACAAGUAUCCUACCAGGUCUUCAUUUUCCUAAUGUUUCAUUUCAAGGGAGAAGCUCUCCAUAUACCUAGCAUGAACCCCAUGAACCCAUCGUUCAAAGUCGCGAUAUCGGUCACUGACUCGGAGGGUCCCGAGGCGUAUUGGUCUCGAUGUAUCGGCUUGGUAUCGGGCGAUACGUAAAAUAAGCUAAUUAGAAAAUUCAAAAAAAAUAUAAAAAUAUCAUGUAAAUCAUCAGAAAAAUAUAUACAAUUAAAUAAGCUCAAAAAAUUAAUAAAAUAAAAUAGUCUCAUAUUUACCAUUAUUUAAAUAGUUAUAAAAGUAUCUACUCAAAGUUAUUUAUGAUAAUGCUAAUAAAAGAAAAUUAUUUUAUUUCAAAUAUAAUAACAUUUUUACUAACAAACAUACAAUACAAUAAUCAAUUCCAUGUUGAAUGACGAGGAGGUUCAAAAUCAUCAUUAUCAGUCCUACGACGAGUAUACAAAUUGGGGUGGCAAUUCCCGUAGUGAGGAUAUGGUUGAAAGAGUUGUUCAUAACUCAAAUAUGCUGGGUGAGAUGAUUGGCUUGAUGAUCCAUAAUCAGGAAAAUAUGGUUUCAAAGGCUAUUCGGGAUCAAUACCAUAUUGAUAGUAUCCAAAACCUUGAUAAACAAUGCUACUGCUACUAGAAGAUUGAUCAUAUCCAUAUGAGUCACUAGCUUGUGUUCCAGUAUUUGAAUAUCCUUUUGGAUGCAUUAUUGGAAAUCGAUCAAAAUCAUUUCUACUAAAAGUAUUGGAAGAGCUAUCACGAUUUCUAAAGUUGUGAUAUGAUCUAUCAUCUACCCCUCUGAAAUACGACCUUGAUCCUAUACCCAAAUUUUGUAAGCGGUCAUCAAUACGGUGGUAAUUUGAUCUAUGAUAAUCAUGCCCACUAGAAUAAUCAUCAUCAUUGGGAAAUGUAGUUAGUCUUUCCAAAUGCUUUCGUUGUUCCCAUAUCCUUGGUCAAUAUCCAUGAUCUGUAUCUUGUGUGGCAUAGUAAUUUUCACUUCCUUGUGCCCAUGACAUGCCAGGAUCUACUUGACUAACAUAAUCGCCCCUAGUGUUACCAUCUCCUCCAGUACCCUCACUAGUGCCACCAACUCCUUUAUUGCCCCCACGAAUGACACCACCCCACCUACUGCCCUCAUUGUCAUCAUCAUCACUACUAGAACUUGAAGAAAUUGUUCUAGAAACCUUACCUUUACGACGGGAAUCAACAUCUCUUUCUCUACAUUCUUCAUUAGUGGGGAGACCUUUAUCCAACCAAUCCAAAUUAUCAGAUGAUAAAAUAGGAUCCUCUCCUUCUCGUAUCCACUCAUCUAAUAUAUCAUCAUCAUUAAAUAUAUGAUUCAGAUCAAUUGGAUUGUAUAAAUCUUCAUUGCUUCGCUCUUACAUCAAAUUCUUAACUCGAAGUCGCAUAUUGUAGUGCACACAUAAACUAACUUAUGCAACUUUUUCAUUGCCAAACGGUUGCGCAACUUUGUGUGAAUCAAUGACCAUGUGCUCCAAUUUCUUUCAUAACCUGAUGAAGAACAAGUUUGACUUAAAAUUUUAACAGCAAUCUUUUGUAGAUGUGGACCUUCGUCGCCAUAGUUGUUCCACCAUUCAGCUAUAAUAAAGAAAAUGCAUACUUAUUAAUCAUUAUGAUAUAUUUAACAAAAAAUGAUGAUAAUUUUUUAUUUGUAAUAGACGUAAAUGUAUUGAGUACCUGGAAGAGAUUGAUUUAUUGUUUUUUUUGUAAGUGCACUUCCAAAUUCUCUUUGGCCGUCAUCAAAUAAUUUCACCUACAUCAUUAACAUUUUUUUUUGUUAAUGCACAUUACAUAGACAAAAUGCAUUAUAUAAAGGUCACAAACUAUUAUUAUACCUUGUUAAUAGCUUUUGCUUGUCUAUCCAAAUUUGGCUCUAAUAUCUUGAUAACCUCCUUUAAUCUAAAUUUAAUUUUCGAAUGGUUGGAGAAAUGCUUUGAAUAUUGGAACAUUGGAUUUAAAAAAUAUGUUGCCAUAAGUUAAAUAAUGAUCAGUUUAUAAUAAUUUGUACUUGAAAAAAAUAAUAAAAAAUAUAUAAAGAAUUUUUUUAUUACUUGAAACAUGAAAAUGUCUGUGCAAUUGACCUUCCCACCUUCUAUCAAUGACUUCCCAAUACUUUUCCCAUUGCUUGACCGAUGCCUUGAUAGCCAAUUUAGCUCUAUCCAUUGCUUCAUAAAUGAUUGAUAGUGUGAGCUUUUUAUCUUGAUCAACCAAUUUCAAUACUUUGACGAAAGGUUCCAUGAUGGUUUGAACUUCCCCUGCCUUCUUUCAAUAUCGAUCGGUUAAGAUAAGGUUGGAUACCUUAUCUCUUAGACUUUUUCUGCUCCUAUCUUUAUUGAAUUCACGCCACUCAUUUGUUGUGCACAUUCUCUUCAAAUCAGCCUCAUAACGUAUAAGACUCUCAAGUGAAAUGAAUUUAGUGGCAAAAUGGUUUAUUCCUGGCCUUAACAGAUUUCUAUCCUUGGUGAACAUUUUCAUCAAAUUCACUACUUUCAAGCUAUUAUAAAUAAAUCCUGUGAUAAUCUUAGCUUGAUCUAAUGUCUCCUUAAUCUAUUUCAUGCUUGCAAUAUCUUCAAGCAUUAAAUCAAUAUAGUGGGCUGCAUAAGGAGACCAAAACAAAUGCUUCCGCUUCUUUAUCAACAACAUAUUGACUGCUUUAAAACUUGCCUCAUUAUCAAUGACUAAUUGAACAAUAUUUUCCUCCCCAAUCUCCUCUACAACUUUAUCCAUAAGGGAAAAGAUGUAGUCUGUUGUCUUAAGUAUGUUGGUAGUAUCAACUGAAGAAUGGUAUAUCAUACUUCUAUCACGAUAAAUCAUGAAAUUGAUGAUAGGCUUUCUAGUCCUAGAACUCCAACCAUCACACAUGAUUGUGCACCCAUAUAUAGGCCAUUUAGCCUUCAAUGUUGUUAUGUAUACCUCAAGCUCUUGCACCUUCUCUUCUAAAUAUGUACUUCCAAUUUGGUAUCCCGUGGGACCCUUGAUGCCUGGACCUGCUUCUGCUAUAUAUGGUAUCAAUCAUUGAUUGAUAGUAAGGUCCACUGUCAGCUGCAUUAAAGGGUAUUGCAUUAAAGAGAAAGAAUUUAGAAAUAGCUUUACCCACUUUCUUCACGCCUUCAAUAGAAAACAAGUUUUUUUAUUGAUUUCUGCUUUGAUGGGAACAUGUAGGGAUCAAUUAUUUUUGGAGGUAUGCUAGCUCAUUCUCUUACAUUGAAGCUACGUGUCAAUCGACGCUUAAUCCUAACAUUAGAAGGUUGUGAGAAACUACCACUCUUCUGAUGCUCUUGUCCACUUUCUUAAAAAAUUCGACGACUUUCUUUCAUUGCUUGUUUCAUUUGUCUUCUUUCAAAAUUAGCCAUAGCAACUUCCUCAAUUUCAUCAUCAGAAUCACCCUCAUCAAUUUCAUAGAAAAUUUCUCUAUUUAAGGAACUCAAAAGUUGUUUUUUUUUUUUUUUUCUUUAACUGUGUUUUUUUUAAAAUAUCAAACAUAUGUUGUCUAACACUAUGUGACAUUUAUACCGGUACACGUGGACAUCCUUUCACUUGUCCGGAUAUAUGUGCGAUGUGUUACUUUAAUUUUGUUAUACCGUCAUGUCUAACUUUCCCACAAUAUUUACACUUUGUGGUUCUUCUCCUAUCACCAAUAGGUUUUGCAUGCUCCUAACCAAUAUCAUGUCUUGAAGUCAUUUUGAAAUUUUAACCUAACCAUGUAUAAAAGGAAAACAACUUACUUUUCAAAUUAAAUAUAUAUAAGCACAUUUAUAUAAGAAUUAUAAUAUUCAAUUUUCCACUCACUUAUAUGUUUCAUAUUGUUACCAUAUAAAAAUAAAUUCUAAUAAAAAAGCAAUAAACAUGAUCUCACCUAAGUUCAACAUCUUUUGUUUUCCACUUAUUUAUAUGUUUUUUUAAUUAAAAUAAAUAAUCAUUAAAUAAAUGAAUAUUUUUAUAAAAAAAUUCUUUUAAAAAAGUUUGUUUUGAUAAUUAUUGAUUUCCUAUUGUAAUUUAAUUGUAGAAUAUUAUAAAAUAAAAAAUCUACAUGAUGUAAUGAAGUAAAAUUGAUUCAAAUAUAAAUGUAAUUGACCAUGUAAAUGCAUACAUGUAGACCCUUUUUUUGGGCUACCCGGGAGCUGGCUGAAGAUUUCAUUUUUUUGGAGUAAGGGCCGGUUUUUGAAAGAGCAAGCCGCAUGGGACGCAUGGCCGAGGAGACCACCGCCUUGCCAUGGUGGUGGUUGGGACGACGACUUAUUUGCUGAGCCAAGAACAGUGAAGCUGGUAGCAGAUAAGAGAGAGUUGGGGACUAAAAAAAUGAGGGGAAGGGGGAACCGGAGAAGGAGGAGAAGUUAGCUUGAGGGGAGAGUUUGGGCUAGAGACGAGAGGAGAUAGGUUUUCUGAGGGUUUUUUUUUUUUUUUUUUUUUGAGCUUGAGAUGACACUUUGAGGGGGGGAGGGGGGAGGGGGGAGGGGAGAGGGGUGCUUUUGCUGCGAUUUUUUUUGGUGGUUGGCCAACUGGGAGAGGAGCCUUAGAGAGUUGAGGACAAAUGAGAGAUUUUUCUGGGGAAGGGAAUAGAGGAAAGGAGUGAGAGGGUGCCCUCUGAAGUUGACCGUCAGUGUACGUAGCAUGGGAGAUUAUGCCGUUUUUGUUUUUGGUUGGAAUCUCUAUAUUGGACAGCAUGGUGAAGCCUGCAACAUUAGCAUUUUGUGGUGCAUUCUUUUAUUUGUUUAUUCAUUAAAGGAUGUGCAUGUACACCUUUUUUUAUUUGUUUAUUCAUUAAAGGAUAUGCAUGUACACUUUUUUUUAUUUGUUUAUUCAUUAAAGGAUAUGCCUGUACACCUUUUUCUAUUUGUUUGAUUCAUUAAAAGUGUGCUUGUACACGUUGGGCCAUUCUAAGGCCAUAUGGCUUUUGUUUUAUUGUUUUCUUAUUUUCUUUCUUUAACUUUUGAUGCCCAAAAAUUUCAUUUUCAAAAUUUUAAUGUUAAGAUAAUUUUUCAAAACUCCAGUUUUGAUUUAAUCUUUUCAAAGCUCCAAACUAAAUUUAAUUUUUAAAACUCUAAUCUUUUUCAAAUUUAAUUUUCGGAAUUCCGAUUUCUUUCAAAUUUAAUUUCUAAAAUUCAAAUUCUUAAUUUAAUUUCCAAAAUUUCAUUUCUUUCGAAUUUAAUUUCCAAAAUUCUAAAUUCUUUCAAAUUUAAUUUUCCAAAUCCAAUUUCUUUUAAAUUUAAUUUACAAAAUUCCAUUUCCUAAAUUUAAUUUUUAAAACUCCAAUCUUUUUCAAAUUUAAUUUCCGGAAUUCCAAUUUCCUUCAAAUUUAAUUUCCAAAAUUCAAAUCCUUCGAUUUAAUUUUCAAAAUUUCAUUUCAUUCAAAUUUAAUUUCCAAAAAUUUUGAUUUCUUUCAAAUUUAAUUUCCAAAAUCAAAUUUCUUGUAAAUUUAAUAUCCAAAAUUCCAAUUCUUAAAUUUCAUUUUUCAAAACUCUGAUUUUCAAGUAAUCUUCGGGACUCCAAUUUUUCAAAUAAAUUUCAAAAAUCCAAUUUUCUCUUGAAUAGUUUUAAUUCCACUCUGGUUUUCAAAUAAUUUUAUGCUCCUCUUGAUUUUAAUAAGCAGUGAAUGAAUUUUUCAUAAUUCCAAAAUAAUGGAAUUCGUGACAUUAAUUCAUGCAAAAUAAAACGGGCUUUGGUGAGAGCUCGACAUAUGUGAUUUUAUGAUUGAUUGAUUGAUUGAUUGAUUGAUUUUAUUACUAUACAUGAAUGAUUUACUCUAUUCGACUCUAUGACAUGCAUGCAAUUAUUUUGUGUUUGAUUGCUAACAUUUGUUUCCCUUGAAGUAAACCGGUUCGUCACUCGGGUACAUUCUUUGCAUUUCUUGUUCAUUCAAUUAUUUUGUUUUGAGUGAUAUUCCUUUGGUAUCCAUGCUUGAUUAAUCAAUUGUCAUACUUGCUCUAUCUCAUUAGUAGAGACCCGUUUUUAGGGACUUAGAGGGGUGCUACGGUCUUUACCGUACCUUCCCGAUAAGUAACCUGACCCCCGAACCCGAUCCGAUUUUUCACAGACCAUAUUUUCCAAAAUAAGGAGUCACACUUAGGGUUUUAUUUUUUAUUUUUUAUUUUUUACCCUUUUAAAAAUAAAACAGAAAUAAGUGGCGACUCUAAGUUAUUUUUCUAAAAAAAUAACAAUAAAUCAUUUUUUAAAAUUAAAAUCGAUCUCGCCAUUGAGUGGGAAAGCGCAUGAGCCAAAAUGCAAGGUCCACAAUACCCUUCAUUCCGUAUUAUUAAAUCAUUUUGAUUAUUUGAAAAAAAAAAUAUUAAUUUUUUAAUGUAAUUAUUUUUGCAAUAUUAUAAGAUAAAAACAUAAAUUAAAAAUACAAUAUCUAUACCAUAUAAAUGUACUUUAUAUUUCUAUACCAUACAAAAAUAAUUUAGUGAACCAAUUUAUUGUUUUGAUAAUUAUUGAUUUCCUAUUGUAAUUUAAUUAUAGAAUAUUAUAAAAUAAAAAAUCUAUAUGAUAUAAUGAAGUAAGAUUGAUUCAAAUAUAAAUGUAAUUUACCAUGUAAAUGCAUACCCUUCAUGCCGUAUUAUUAAAUCAUUUAUGAUUAUUUGAAAAAAAAAAUUUAAAUAAUUAUUAAUUUUCUAAUGUAAUUUAAUUUUGCAAUAUAGUAUUAAUGUAAUCGAGUAAUAGGGAAUUUUUUUGUCACUAAUAUAAUGUAAAUUUAUUUAUACUAAUAGAAAAUUGAGUGAUAUUUUUAAAGUAUUCAAUACAAUUUCUUGUACAUUAUAUUUUGUAGCAUUAUACAAAAUUUUAUAUAAAAUAUAAAACAUUUAUUCAACAAAACAAUGUAACAUUUCAGAGCUCAUGAUAUCACUCAAUAAUAAUAUUAUAAAAGAUUUUGAUAUAAUUUUACUCAAUACUAUUUGACUAAUUAUACGUCAGAUGUCAAUUUUUCUCCUUAUUGAUUUAAAAAAAAAAUUAUUAGCAUAAAAAAUAAAGUGGACAACUAGGAAAAGAAAAUUAAUUUAUUUUAAUAUCUUGUAUGAUAAGACACUUUGAAAUUAUGUUGUAACAUUGGUGAUUAUCGUUAGUAACUACUUGGCAAUUCUAAUUCAAACGAAAGAUCGAGUAUUAAAACUAUCUUGAGAUUUACUCAAUUUAUUAAAACCUAAUUAGUUAAAAAUGAUGAAAAUAAUCCUUAUAUUUGAAGAGUAACUCAUUUUUUUUUUAUGUAUAAAUACCCUUGAUUAUUUUAAGUAUUUACAUGAAUGCUUUAAAAGAAAUAAUUAUUUUGAUAAGAAAAAAAUGAGAGUGUUUUUUUAAAAUGAUGCCAAAAAAAAUAAUGAAGGGUUAGAUUUCCAAAAUUAGAUUUUCAAUAACCUUUUUAAUUAAAUAAGUCAUUUACUAAUGCUAUAUUUGGUUUAUGAAUAUUAAAGGAAAAAAAAAAAAAAAAAACUAAACAAAUUUAAGGUUAAUAAAUUAUUUUUGUAUGGCUCUUUUAAUUCAUUUUAUUUAUUUAUUUUUCUAUAUAAAGAUUAUAUAAUUUAAAAAUAUAUAAAUGUUUAGCUAAUUUUUAAUUGCAGUUGAUUUUCUUUUAUAUUUUUUAUGAUAAAAAUAAAUAAUUUUUUUGGGAAUUAAAUAUAACCUAAACGAAGGUUUAAUAUCUAUUACAAAUGAGUAUUUAUAAUUUUUUACUUAUAUAUGGAAAAUUAGAUUAUACCAUAGUUGAAGAAUAUAAAACAAAAAUCAAAGACCAUUCAACCAAAGACUAAUAGAUCACAUCUCAAGGAUGGUCAAUCACCCAACUGGGUUAAGAUGAAUUUUAAUUAAUCACUUAAUAAAUAAAUUAGUAUUUAAUGUCACUUGUCAUUGUAUAAAAUAAAAAAUAAUAACUGAUUUUAUUAAGAGUAUUGAGAAAUUGAUAAAAUGUAUAAUUUAAUGGUGAUAAUAAUUUUAAAAUAUUAAAGAUAUUCAUUUAUGUUUUCUCAUUUAUGUGAUGGAUGAAAGUCAAUCAAAUUAAUUGGCACCGAAAAACAAAAAUGUUAUAACCAUCCAAUAUUUGAAAAGGAAUGAUAGAUUAUAUAUAGUAACAAUAGUGUUAAACCGUAUACAGAGGAGUAUAUAUAUACUCGCAUGCUUCAUUAAGCACAACUAUAUAGCAAAAAGGGGGAAUUACCUUUAUUAGUUAUUACCUGCUGGUUUGAAACCCUUGCCCUCUAUCUUCUUCCCCAAUAUCACGAAAACCGAUCUACAGCCUUGCUAUCUUCUUCCCCAACACACCACGAAGACCAUGAAGAUCAAUCUGUAGCCUUGCUAUCUUCUUCCCCAACACACCACGAAGACCACAAUCUAUAGCCUCUCAAACUAUCAGACCUUCCCACUGCUACCAUACAACCAUGAUCUGCUACCUUCCCACCGGCAACGCACCAAAGACAAAGAUUCUACACUCCGAUAAUGGUGGAUUUAGGGUUAAGUAAGUUAUUCUUCAACCGAGGCUCUUUUUAAAGGCUUUUGAAAGGGUCACGGGUUUGUUUCAAAUUUUCAUGGGUUUUCUUUUGUAGAGGAAUCUUUGAUUUCUUUGAAAAAUUGAUUCUUGUUGUGAUGGGUUUCUUUUGUGGGGAAUCUAUUGAUUAGUUUUUUUUUUUUUUCGAGUUGACCGAGUUAACUCGGAAUAUUGGUCGAGUAAUCCAAGUCCAACUGAUUCUAGGCCGAGUCUAGGUAUAAAUUGUAUCUAGUAUCAGACUCGUCGUGGCCGACGUCGAGAUGGAUAAGACUCGGCUUAGUUGUACCGGACUCGGCCGAUUUUUUGAACCCUGUAUGAACCAAGAGGUCAGAAAAGCAAUGAUUUUUAAUGGUUUCCUUCUAUGCUAGGUCUUCAAUCAUUUCCAUCACUUUUUUGACUUGGGUAACUAUGUCUGUUGGUUGUUUUUAGUGGCAUUCAUAGGCAUGCAUGUGUUGGGGUUUACUGAACUUUGUUUAAAGUUGAAUUGGAUGCAGUGGCCUUUUUGUUUCCUCAUUGCUAUGCUUUCAUGAGGGAUAAAUUCAACCACAAUUUUGAUCUCAAUCCUCAUAAAAAAAAAAUCUAGAUUAAUGCCCAUUUCCCUCGUCUUCCAUGCCUUGUUUUCCAACCUGUUGUCUCCCAUCCUUUCUCCUAAAUUUUCUAUGCUAUCACUGUAGAAUGAGUCUAUGUUCCUUACCACUGCAUCACCUUAGGUCAUUUUCUUUUUUAUUUCUAGCUUUUUGUAAUUUAUUUUUGAAUGUGAAGCGUGAACCAUUGAAAAGAUAUUAUGUAGUUUCUAUUUCCAUUUUGAAAUACUACCUUACACUACAGUUAAUUGAGAUGUUACUAAGACUUCUAAGAUUGAGAACUUCUAUUUUUCUUUCAUUUUUCUUUUUCUUGCCUGAUUACUCUCACAUGACAACAGAUUUUGCAGUUUUUUCAUAUAACAUUGCAUGAAUGAAGUUGAAAUUUCAUAGAAUGUUGAAAAGGGGAAAGAGGUUGAGAGGACUUCCAAAAUUUCAAAACUAAUUUUGAUUUCUAUCAAUUUAAAGCCUAAGAUUUCCAAGCAACCAUCAAUGAAAAUGCUUCUACAAUGAAUCUCUUUGAGUAAUUUUAUGUAACAAUUAACAAGAAAGUAUAUAAUCAAGUGGGAAACUCCAAGGUAGCUAAUAAUAAUAAUGUUGGUGUUGGAGUUGGGUGGGUGCCCAAGUCGGGGUGACCCAACCUGAUCCAACAAAUCAGAGAUUUGGGGGGAGCAAUUUCUGGGAGUUGGAAUUGCCAGAAACUACCUAGAAACCACCCCACUAAAGAAAGAUGAUUUCUCUCUUACUCUCUCUUAAACUCUUUGGCUCAUUUUUUGUUUUCUUUGAAAAGAAAGACAGAGAGAACUUAAAAAGAAAAGUUCUCUGAAGAGUAGGUGAAAAGUUUUUGUACUAUGAAAUGAAGUGGUUCCUGAUUUAAUUGUGGCUCCAUUCAAGACUUGAGGUGAAAAAUUGAAUAGUGAAACAAUUUAUUAUUGGAUCAUGGAUUUUUCAAAAGGUAAUCCAAAGAUCUGGGGUGACCCAAGUCGAUCCAACAAAUUAGAGAUUUGGGGGGAGCAGUUUAUGGGAGUUGGAACUACCAGAAACUACCCAGAAACCGCCCCACUAAAGAAAGAUGAUAUAUCUCUCGCUCUCUCUUAAACUUUUUGGCUCAUUUUUUAUUUUCUCUGAAAAGAAAGACAGAGAUAACUUAAGAAGAAAAGUUUUGAAGAGUAAGUGAAAAUUUUUUGUGCUGUGAAACAAAGUGGUUCCCAAUUUGACUGUGGUUCCAUUCACGACCUGAGGUGAAAAUUUGAUCGGUGAAACAAUUUAUUAUUAGAUCCUGGAUUUUUCAAAAGGUAAUCCAAAGAUUUUUAACAUUGGUAUAAACAUGUUUUCAUUUGUUUCCUAUUUUGUUUUCUUUCCAAAAAGAACAUUGUUUCCUAUUCUGAUUUGUUUUCAAAAAGAAAUUCCCAUAAAUAAAAUAAAAAAUAAAAAUUGGUGGUUACAGUGAACAAAUGAUGGAUGCAAUAAAAAAAAAAUGGUGGAUGCAGUGGAUGCACGAUAAAAUUGUAUGAUAUCCAACAGUGGAUAAUAUAGAAUAAAUAAAAAAAGCAAAAAAAAAAAAAUAUAUAAGACGAAAUGCGGUAGAUACCACCCUGUUGUAGAAGUCCACCCCUACCAUACCAAUGGUAGAUAAUUUAGAUAAUAUCUAAUUAAUUAUUGGAAAUUGGAUAUUAUAAUAAAAUAAAUAAUACAGGAUUCAAACCUGAGUCUUCCCCCUGUAAGGAGUCCCUUAUUACCACUAGAGUACCAACACUUAAUGUGACAUGAAUACCAUUUAUUGGUAUUAUAUUGUUUAUUUCAAAUGAUGAAUGUUGAUUUGUUCAUAAAAUAAUAAUAAUAAAAAUGAGGGACAAUAAAAGACACAUGCCUUUUUUAUUUUAUUUUAUUUAUAAUAAUUGUGUCCUUAUAAUUAAAUUUUUUAUUUGUUCAAAUAUUUAAUUAAAGUAUAUGUUACUCAUUAAAAUUAAAUUAAAUCCUUUUGGUAAGGUGCGAAAUGGUUUGAAUGAAGAGAACUAGGAGAGUAUUAAGGGGUAGAAGACUUUGGCCGUUUUUGGAUACGCUUAUGAAUUAUGAGAGGAACCCUAACCAUUCUAUAAAUGAACAUGUGGAUCAUGUGGUUAAUAUGAUCAAGAGUUUGGAAGUAGAAUAUAUUUUUCAAUCAUGUUAUAAAAAACGAAUUUUACAAAUGUUGUUGACAGAAUCUAAGACUAAAGUUUUAGAAAAUAUAUGAGAAUUCGUUCAAGAAGGGCCUCAUGGUUUCACAAAUAAUUCUUUUGAUGACUUAGUAGCUCUUUUUAAGGAACAUUGGCAAAUUUGCUUUGUAAAGAAUGUCAUUAGAUGAAUAACAACGGUUUAUAUUUCUCCUAACUUGUUAAGUGCUAGUUUUUCAAAUUCUAUCAGGCAUAAAAUUUUUAGAGGGUUAUAGUUAUUGAAAACAACUUCUAGAGUUAUAGAAGACACUGUGUAUAAUCCAAACCUUGUUCCUUUUAGCUUCAAUGGAGAAAAUUAGUUUUUCUUUUAUAUAUUACAUUUUCUUUUAUGUUUUGUACAUAAAAUGUAAAUAUUUUGAUUUGCAAGACAUGACAUGUAUGUUUAUCUUAUUGAUGAAUUAGUAUUUUUUUUUAUUCACAUGACUUCAGUUAUUUAUAAAUAUGUUGUCAACACAUGCUAGUUGUACAAUAUUAUUUCAUGGAGUGGGAAGUUUUAGGUUAAAUGCAAUUUAUGUAAUUUCUUGCCUAAAUACAUAUAUAGUAAUACUAGUAUAGAUUAUUUCUAAUUCAUAAUAAUUAAAAUUGUAUAUAGGAGCUGAUUGGGAACAUAGUGAACUGUUGUUUCUAUUACAAUUAAGGUUAUUACAUAUUAGAAGAUAAUUAGAGCAAGUAUGAGUCUCGAUAAUCUCAAAAUUACCAACUAACAAGAUUUGUGCAAUAUCUCUAUGUAGUUGAAUGUGUCAAUUGCAACUAAGAACAUCAAAGUAGAACUAAAUAAGGGUGAGAAAUUGAAUGGUGAUAAUUAUGAAAUUUGGCAUCGAAAGGUUCGGUAUAUCCUUGAAGAGCAAGAGACUCUCAAAACACGUACUGAAUUAUAUCAUGAAAGAACUUGAAUAAGGAAACUCUGCCCAACAUAGAGGAGAUUAGGAUGCUUAUGUGGCCUAGAAGAAAAAGAGUUCUUUAGUUUGCUUUACGUUGUUAAGUUGUAUGCAAUAUGAUCUCUUGAUUGAGUAUGGGGUAUACCAAACUACUCAUGAGAUGUGGGAAGGUCUAAAAGAAAAGUAUGGUGGACUUUAAGCUACAAAGCUAAAAUAACUUGUAAUGAAAUUUAGAAAUUACAAGAUGUGACCCAACCAUACAAUGAAACAACAUCUCAAGAAGAUGAAAAGAAUGAUAAGAGAGCUUAAGACAUCUAGACAUGUCCUCACUAAUGAGCAACAAGUUAAGGUAGUCAUCAGAUCUCUACCAAAGAAUUGGAAACACAUGGUGGUGAACAUGACACAUAAUGAGAGUGUCAAGAACUUUGAUGAUAUAGUUCGCCAUCUUGGAUUGGAAGCUGAGCAACUUGUGGGUACUAGGCCAAAUGAACAAGCUUAUGUAGCUGAAUCUAGUUCAUGCAAAAGUUCUAGCUUUAAGCAUAAUAGGAAAUUCUUUAAGAAAAAUAAGAAAUCUGAUGAUGCUUUAAAGAAAGGAAAAACAUGGGCACGUAAGAAGUUUAAGCGUGUUAAGAGGGAAGAAAACAAGUUAAAAUGCUACAAUUGUGGCAACAAGGGUCAUUUCGCUUGUGAGUAGAUUGAGCCUAAAUAGGUAUGGUCCUAUUCAAAUAACUCAUGUGCUUAUGUUUCUAGUUGUGUAAUGUUAACCGAAUCUAUUCCUUUGUGAACUGUAGACUCAAUCGCCACUGACCACAUAGCUAGAGACUAAGGAGCAUAUGUAGAGUUUCAGCAAAUUAGUUUUAGUUCAAGAUGGAUCUAUGUAGGAAACAACUCCAAAGUUGAGGUCAAGGGUAUUGGAACAUGUAAAUUGGAAUUGUGCAGAUAAUGUACCCUAUUCUUACAUGAUGUUUUUUAUGCUUCGAAUAUUCGACGAAAUUUGGUCUUUGUGUUAGUCUUUCUUAGUUUAGGUUUCAAUUUGAAUUUUCAUGAUUCAGUAAUGGAGUUGUAUUUGGGAACAACAUACUAUGGUUCUAGAUUUAUUCUAAAUGGUUUUAUGGUUCUUGACAUUGAUAAUUGUGUAUUGUCUAAUACUAAUGAUAGUUAUUAUUUGUUGAUGACUACUUCUAGAAAUACAUGUGAUAAUGUGAUCAUAUGACAUGUUAGACUUGGACAUAUUGAAUAAGAAAGAAUGAAUAGACUAGCUAGAGAAAAUCUACUAGGUCAAUUCACUAAAAUUGAUAUCCUAACUUGUGAAUGUUGUCUAGUUGGUAAGACAAUAAGAAAACCAUUCGAAAAAGGAACUAUAGCUGAAAUACCAUUGCAAUUGAUCCAUUUUGACAUCUAUGGUCCUAUGAGUGUUAGAGCAAGGCAUGAUGCCUUGUAUUUCAUCACAUUUAUAGAUGACUUUACUCGUUAUGAUCACGUUUAUCUGAUUUCUCAUAAGUUAGAAGUAUUAGAUUGCUUCAAACGCUACAUUAAUUUAAUUAAAAAUCAAUUGGAUAAAAAGAUUAAAACAUUAAGAAUAGACUAGAGUAGAGAAUAUUUAUUAAAACAAUUUAAAGAUUUAUGUGAUGAAAAAGGUAUUAGUAGAGAACUAACUAUUCUAGGGACUCCACAACAAAAUGGUGUUGCUGAGAUGAGGAAUAGAACGUUGUUAGACAUGGUUAGGUCAAUGAUGGCUAAAAAAAUUCUUCCCAUUUCAUAUUGGGGAGAUGCGUUUUUUACUGCUACUUAUGUACUUAAUUGAGUACCCUUAAAGACUGUUGCAUCUACUCCAUAUAAGUUAUGAAAUAAUCAAAAGCCUGAUCUUAUCAAUUUGUGACCAUGGAGGUCAACAACUUAUAUUCACAAUCUUUCUCAUAAAUAUGGAAAAUUAGGUCAUAAAGGAAGGAAAUGUAUUUUUAUAAGAUACACUGAACACUUCAAAGGAUAUGUGUUCAUAAGUGAUCAUGAAGAUGGAACAAUAACUGAAUUAGAAUCAUGAAAUGCCACAUUCUUUGAGGACAAUUUCCCAUGUAUAAGUGAAAUUGAUAAGGAUUUACAUCUUUAUGAAAUGAUGGAUCCUAACAUAAGAUCUACACCCAAGCAACAAUUGAUGUUUGAACCUAAUGGGAGUGAAUUGGUACCUAGAGCAAGUAUAGUAAAAUACUCGAUGUUGAGAAAAAGUUCUUGACAAAUUAUUCUUCAACGAUGAUUUGAGAUUGAAGGGGAAGUUCAUAUUAUUACUCAAUAUGAUGAUGCUGAGCCUAAGUCAGUUCAGGAGGCUCUUACUUGUCUAACUAAGAAUGAAUAGAGAUGAACAAUGGAAGAGGAAUUGGAGUUAAUGCGAAAGAAUCAAGUCUAAGACUUGGUUGAUCUGCCUUCAGAUUGAAAAGCUAUUUGAAACAAAUGAGUUCUUAAAAUAAAAUGAAAGACAGAUGGAUUCAUUGAAAAUUAUAAAGCUCGAUUAGUUGCUAAAGGGUAUACCCAACAAGAGGGUAUAGACUAUGAGGAAACCUUCCUCUAGUGGUUAGGUUUGCCUCAAUUCAUCUCAUUCUAGCUAUAGUAACUCAUUUUGAUUUAGAGCUACACCAAAUGGAUGUUAAGACAACUUUCCUUAAUAGAGAAUUGAAUGAAGAAAUAUAUAUAUGGAACAACUAGUAGGUUUCAUUAUCCAAGGCCAAGAUAGCAAAGUGUGCAAGUUAAAUUGAUCAAUUUAUGGCCUUGAGUAAUCCUCCCAACAGUGGUACUUGAGAUUUCAUUGUGCAAUAACUUCGUACGAUUUCACAAUGAUUGAUGAGGACCAUUAUGUUUACAUUAGACAACAUAAAGAUAAAUAUGCGUUAUUAUCUUUAUAUGUUGAUGAUAUACUUAUAACUGGAAAUGAUUUGGAGUUUGUUCAAACCAUGAAAAGAUGGUUAUCAUCUACUUUUGAGAUGAAAGAUAUGGGAAAAACAUUUUAUAUUCUUGGAAUAAAGAUUCAUAGAAAUCGUUCUAAUAGACUAGUGGUUCUUUCAAAAGAAUACUAUAUUAAGAAAAUCCUUGAACGAUUUAAUUUACAAGAUUGUAAUCCCAUUGACACUCCAUUUAUAAGAGGUGAAAACCUAAGCAAAGAAAUGGGUCCAAAAACUUUAAAAGAAAAGAGAAAAAUGAUUAAUGUUCCCUACUCCAAUGUUGUUGGGAGUCUAAUGUAUGCUACGAUGUGCACAAGAUCAGACAUCUGCUAUGUUGUUGGGAUGGUUAGUUGUUACCACGCAAAUCCUAGCAUGAUGCAUUGGAAAGCAGUAAAAAGUAUCUAAAAGGCAUUAAGGACUAUUUCCUUUGUUAUCAAGGCAAAAGAUUGUGUUUGGUGGGUUAUUUAGAUGCAGAUUGUGCAUGUGAUUUAGAUGAACGCAAAUUAACAUUUGGAUAUAUAUUCUUGCUUAACAAUGGUGCUAUCUCAUGGAGAAGCAAGAAACAGACUUGUAUAGCUUUAUUAACCAUGGAAACUGAAUUUAUUGCAUGUUCAGUUGCAGUAUAGGAAGUUGUAUGGUUGAGAAGAUUUUUGUAAAGCUUGGGAAUAGUCAAGGUUGUUUUUGGGCCAACAACAAUCUAUAGUGACAGUCAAGCUGUCAUUGCUUAUGUAAAUGACUUCAAAUAUCAUGGAAAAACUAAACAUAUAGAUACCAAGAAUAAUUUUAUAAGAGAUAUGAUUUCACCAAAGGAUGUGAUCUUGAAAUAUUUUCCUACACGUGAGAUGGUUGCUGAUCCAUUCACAAAAUCCAUUUUCAAGACACAUGUUUUCUGUACAUGUAAAGUCAUUAGCACUACAUAGGUUAUAAUUUAUGUUGAUUAUAUGACAUGGAUCAUUAUUGAUUCGAUAUAAGAUACUCUGUAAAUGAUUAAAUGAGUUGAGUAUUUGUUAUUCAUAUCAUUGAAUAUGUAAAUGGUACUUAUACAUAUAUGCUCUUAAACGUAUGUCAAUAGGUAGAGGUUGACUUUCUCACACGAGUAACUGCCCCAAUCAAUGUGUUUAUGAGUUGGGAUGAGACAUGGUAUACUAAUGAUGAUAAAUGAGUAAAAAGCGUACAAAGAUAAUGAGAGUCACCUUGAUUAAGCAUCAAGACGAGGUUUAUAAUAAAUGACAUCUUGAUCGAAUGCAAUAGUCCACAAUUACAUUUUCUUGUUUGAAUCAGACUUGAGUUUUAACAUAAAAGGUUUGAGGAGAACCAUAAAUGUGAAACUCAAACAAGUUGUUGGUAUGGAGCUCUUAGUUGAGGUCCAUAUGGUGGUAAUUUGACAUACACUCUCUAAGUGAAGUUAAACCACCAUAGCAUGUAUUUCAUACUCAUGUGUUUGAAAGUGACUAAUAAGGAAAAUGAGUGAUUAAUCCCUACAUCCUCAUUGUCUAAGAUCCUUAGGGCUUAUUACAAUUAUAAUAGCCCACUAUUGUACUCUUUGUAUUUUUGGCUAUGUUUUGAGGUGAUAAAUUAAUGCUACCACUUUGGCAUGUUUUUGACGAAAAUAAAAUAAUUUAUCCUUAUGGGACAUAUUGGGCAAGUGAUUAAUUUGAAUUUAAAAGACAUGAGCUUAAAAGAAAGAUUUUUUUUUUUAGUUACAUUGAUAAAGAUGUGUUUACGGUUGACCAGUUAUAUUGCUUUUGUAGCUAAUUGUGAAUACAUUUAUAAUGUUGUAUAGUGUGUAACUUUAAGGGAUUAAGUGUAUACAUUAAAAUGUGACUAAAUAAAUAUGGGGUACAUGGAGACAUGAUUAUAAUUGUUUACUCAUAAUUUUGGGGUUAAGCUAUUAUGUAUCCCUAAUAGGUACAUAACUUUAUAAGCUCCUAAAUUGUAGAUGUACUCGCAUGGUCAUACAACCCAUUUACCUGUAUGAAUCACCUUCAAAAGUUGAGAGAAUGAACUUGGAUGAUUAUUGAUCAAUUGUAUCAACCCAUCUUGUGCAAGUGGGAGAUAUUGGAGAUGGGUGGGUGCCCAAGUCGGGUUGACCCAACCUGAUCCAACAAAUCAAAGAUUUGGGGGAGCAGUUUAUAGGAGUUGGAACUAUAAAAAACUGUCCAAAAACCACCCCACUAAAUAUAUAAAUUGAAAAGAAAGAAGAUAAUUUCUUUCUCUCUCUGUUCCUCUCUCAAACUCUUUGGCUUAUUUUUUAUUUUCUUUGAAAAGAAAAGUUAUCUGAAGAGUAGGUGAAAGGUUUUUGUAUUGUGAAAUGAAGUGGUUUCCAAUUUGAUUGUGGUUCCAUUCAUAACCUGGGGUGAAAAUUUGAACUGUGAAACAAUUUAUUAUCGGAUCCUGGAUUUUUCAAAAAGUAAUCCGAAGAUUUUUAACAGGUGGAAAAAUGCAAGGUAAAUACAAGAUCCCACAUGAUCACAAGCAAUAACCAACACCACCAAAAUCUAUAAUGGUAUGUCCUCAAGUCUGCAUUCACUCCCAAGGAAUUUUUCAGUAACAAUUCACUAAUCAGUAUAGGCAUUAUAUCAAUUCACUAGAAACUGAAUCAACAACAAGAACUUGGCAAAAUUCUUCAACAAACAACUUAAAGAGUACAAGGCUCACAACAAAUUUAACUAGCUAGGAUUCAAUCCUUAACAUCACUGCGAGAAACUAAUACAAAAAAUAAAAAUAAAAAUAAAAAUACAAGAAUUUAACAGAUAAAUCAACCCACACAGCCUUGAAGAAGCCUUCAAUGCUCUUCAAAACUCCUCAGCCUCUUUGAUGAUGAACCACUUGAAUCUCCUUAAGACUCCUCAAUCCAAUGCGCAAAAUGGAGUUUCUCUCAAGACUAAUACAAAGAAAUUUGAUGAGAAUAUAUGGGUUUUUAAAGCUCUGUCCAAACUCAAAAAGGGUCUUACAGCCCUGGGUUUCUUGGAUGAGGAAGAACGAGGAGAAAUAGGGGAAACAAUGAGCUUACAUUCAAAUGCUCUCCAACGAUCAAAUUUUGAAAUCCAUUGAAUGGUCUACCCUAUCGGCCCAUAUUCAAAACUAAGGGCUUGAGGCCCAUAAUUGAAGUAUAGAGCCUGGGCCUCAUUAUUGGUCGGCCCCACAACACUCUUGGCCCAUGUGUGAUUAUUUUUCCAAUAGUAAUGUGAAUAAUGCCUAUUACUGAAAUGACUUUUAGAAAUUAAUUAAUAGUUAUAUUAAUUAAUUAAGAAAAGACAAAAUAGUCCUUCAUUUUCAGAAAUAACUCUCUUUUUUCAAACAUAAAAUAUGACCCCCUUAAUGAAAAAAAAACUCUUUUCCUAAAAAGUUUUUUAUAUCCAUUGCACAUUUAAUACUAAAAAUAGAAAAAAAAUUAUUUUUUUAGAUUGGAAAUUAUUUUAUGCUUUUAAUAUAUAAAUCUUUUAUAAGCUUCAAAUAUAAUAAAUAUAUUAUGUCAGAAAAUUGAAAUGUUCCGGAUAUUAUAUUUAAUCUCAAAAUGAUAUAUUUUUAUAUCAUUUUAAAUAUCUUUUUACUCUUAUUUGAACAUGUAUAAAAGCAUAAUAAUAGUGCGAAAAAUAUGAUUAAAAUUAAGAAAAUUACAAUUAAAAGUUGAUGAUUGAAUAAAAAUAAGAUAAUUAUGAUAUAAAAAAAAGUAAUUAGAUUAUGAAUACUGUGAUUGAAUACCAAAAAAUAUUAUCAGAUGUGUCUUUUAUAUGUAAGAAUGCCCUUAUUAACUUAAAUUUCUAAUUUUAUAUUUUGAAUUAGUGGAGAUUUCAUAGAGUAGGUUUGAAACUGUUUUUAAAAACAUUUUUAUUAUUAUUAAAAACAAAAAACUAUUUUCUGUUAGUAAUUUAUUCAAUUCUCAUAAUGCAAAAUAAAAAACCUCUAACUUUUGCAUAAAUCAUAAAAAACAAUAUAAUUUUCAUAAGAUAAAAUUAAGAAAAAAACGUACUUUGAUUUAUGAGAGAUUUAUCAAAGAAAAAUCAAAUAUAAGAGCAAACUACACAAAUGUAUUUUUAGGGAGGAGAAAAACUGAUAUCUCUUUCUCUAGGUAGAGAGAGGAUUAGUUUUUUACUUUUUAAAUAUGCUAAUUAUCCCACUUUCUAUUACAGUUAGUUAUCAACAUUUUCUCAAAUUCGAGCAGUAAAAUUUUAACAAAUAUUAUUUAUUUAUUAAACCAUAAUUAAUAUAAAAACUUAAAUCAUUGAAAAACAUAUUUAAUAUUUUUUUGAGGACUUAUUCUAAAAACUAUUAUUAAUUGUUUUUAUUUAUUUUAUAUUUUAAAAUUUUAAUUAUACAAAUGUAAAGAAAAUGUAAAGAGCAAUUGAAAAUAAAAUAUUUCAAUUUUAAGAGCUAUUUAAAAAUAUAAAAAAGAGUUUAAUAUAUUUUACCCCAUCAACUUAUUGUGUGUUUUGCACAUGACCCAUUAGGUUUAAAAUCGAAUAAAUUGUCUUUCAAACUUCUUAAAUACUAAUGUUAUGCCUUUUUUUUGGACGAUGUUAGUUUGAAUAGACGAAAAUGUCAUGUACUUUGCACGUGACUUAAUAAAUAAGGACAAAUUUGUAAAUUAAAUCACCAAAAUAGAGUUCUCCUUCCUCUUUGUUCUUAUUAUGGAACCCUAAAUUGUCAAACACUCACAAGUCAAUCUCAAUUCUUAAGUUGUGGCUUUUUCCAAGCAAGUCUAGGUUUUUUAGCUUUUCAUUUCUUUCCAUGAAAUUCACAUUAAUUUGCUUUUCAUUUCUUUCCAUGAAAUUCCCAUUAAUUUAAUUUUUUACUCAUUGUUAGGAUCCUUUUUCCAGGCUCCUUGAUUAGGUUUUGUUUUCAAGUAGAGGAGGUUUUCAUUUUUAUGCCCUUUUGGUUCGUUUGGUUGCUGGGAAACUAAAGGAAAAGAUAAGGGAUAAAUGAAAUUAUGUUAUUUGUUUUUUUUCGUUGUUUUUCUGGAUGGUUUUAUUUCGAAGUAAAAGGGGGUUUUCAUUUUUUUUUUUUUUAAUGCCCUUUUGCUCUAUUUGGUCGUUGGGAACUAAAGGAAAAGAGAAAUGAUAAAUGAAACUUAUUUAUCAUUUUUUUGGACGGUUUUGUUUUGGGGCAAAGGGUUUUCCUAUUUUAUGUUAUUCUACUUUGCUUGGCUGUUGGGAAACCGAAGGAAAAGGGAAAAGGAAAAGGAUGAAUGAAACUUGUUUGUCUUUUUGAUCGUUUUUUGGGCAUCCUUGUUUGUUAGGCAUGUGAUCAAUUGUAAAUCUUCAUAGUGAAACAUAUUUGAGUUCAUAGGUUUCUAGUUUAUCUAGAAUCAUAUGAGAUGAAGUUAUUCAAAAAUCUAGUAGGCAUUAAAGAAUAAAGAAAAUCAAUCGUAGUAUUAAAUAUUCUUGUUAAUAUUUUUGAACUUUCAAUUUUAUUUUAAUUGUUUUGCAUAUAUUUGAUUGUUUUGUAAAUAUGGUGGGUGCUUGAGGAUUUAGGAUUUUAGGAAGAACCAAAAAAAAGAAAGAGGAGAGCGGAAUUUUAUUUUGGUGAUUUAAUUUAGAAAUAUGACCUUAUUUAUUAAAUUACGUGCACAACAUAUGAUAUUUCCGUCUAUUUAAACUAAUAUCAUCCAACAAAAAGACAGUGUUUCAAACACGAGAGAGCAAUGUACAAAACACGCGAUGAAUUGAUGAGGUAAAAUAUAUUAAAUCCUAUAAAAAACAUGUGGUUAACAAUGUUGCAAGUUAUAACCAAAUUUUUAUUUUAGAACAUAUCAUAAAACUAUUUUUAAAAAUGAUUCUCAAAACCAUUUUUUUGCUAGAAGGGUUUCAAAAACUCAUGCUCAUCUUUGGUAUACCAUCUGACUUGGAAAAGCUUUUGGUCCAUGACUCCAUCUUCAUCAUCCAAGCCAAGGCCUUGUGUUUAUCCCUUUAAGACGUUUUGGAGCCGCCUACAUUGACUCUUUACAAAUCCGCGUGGGAUAGAUUGGGGUCGAUAUUUAUAUUUUGAUUAUAUUUUUAAUUUUAAAAUUUAGAAAAGGCAUAUGUUUGGGCGAAAACAAAAAGGGCUGUUUGGGGGUGUAGGAAAAUUCUCUAUUUGAGACGUGGGCUUAAGGAUUUGAAAGUCGGGGUUUGGAGGAAAAUGUAGAGGAAACUAACUGGAAAUGUAGAGGAAACGAACACGAAAUGUAGAGGAAACUAACAAGAUUUUUUUUUAAUUUUUUUUAAGGUUUUAAUGUUUUGAGAAUAAUUCUUAAAAACACCUUUCAAUUUUCUGUGUUAUAGAAAACGAAAAUAGACAAUAAAAAAAUAAGAAUAUUGUGGAAAAAAUGGGAUAAAUCGAACAAAAUUCACUAUGUAAAAAAUUAGUACAAGAAAAAAGAAAUGAGUGAGCGUAUAAUUUUUUCAUAUAAAUUUGUGUGUUCUUUUUCUUACUGUAUAUUUUCAUAUUUCGUAAUAUUAUGAAAAACAAUCGAGAAUACUUAUAACAAACAUGUUUUUGGAAUAAAAAAAAAAUAAUUUUUUGUCAAAAGUUUAUAAAUACUGUUUUUUUUUCUAGUUAGACAAAAACCAAUUAAUUUUAAAAAUAAUUAUUUAAUAAGUAUUAAUUUUUUUUUAUUUAUGUUCUAAUUUUCUUUCUUUGUGAGAGAAACACCAUCCAAAUGUGCCAUAAAAAAAUGAAUGAAUGAAUGCUAAUUCAAGUGUGGUAUUAAUAAUAUUAAUAAUGAUAUUAUUCUAAUAUAAUAAAUGAAAUUUAUUAAACAUAAUAUUAAUUACUUAAUACAAAUUUCUUUUAGUUUAUAUAAAAUGAAAAUAGGAAAAUAUACAAAAAUAUAUUUAAUGCUAAAAAAGGUCAAUAAAAGUUUGAAAAGAAUUAUUAGAAUACAAAGAGUAUCCCCAAAUAAAAAUAAAACAAUUAAAGUAAUAUUCAGAAUAUGAACAAUAUCAUCGGAUGCAAAUAUUAAGAUCAAGUAUAAAAGUUUUGAAUUAUAUAAAAAUUUUCUUAUUAUUAAUUUAAUGUUAGUUUGGAUAUAUUUAUUCUAUUUAUUAUUUUUAAAAUCAGAAACUUUUAUAUAAAAGUGAAACAUGUUAUAUAACUGUUUAAAACUAUUUAAAGAAAAUUAAAUUCUAGGUAUUUGCCAUUGUAAAUUUGUGAGUAUUGUUCUAUCUCAUAUUAAAAUUAAUAUAAUUUUUUUUAUUUUGAAAAUAGAAAACAAAAUAUGUAUAUUCAAAUGAAAACUUAGAAUCAUGAAAGCAAUUUUGUUGCCAAUGGUUUUAAAAAACAGUUUUCUUAUGUUUCUAAUAACAAAAUUUUGUUGUGAAGCUUGAAAUGUUCUUAAUCUUAUAUUUUCAAAUAUUUCUUUAAAAUUAUUUUUUAUAAUAUUUUAUUUUUAAUUUUUUUUCAUAUUUAUGUAAUUUAUUUUUAAAAUACCUCUAAAAAAAUAAGUGAAAACAAACAAAAACAAUUAAGAUAUGUUUUUGUUAAAUACUUAAAUUGGUAAGGAUUUUUUUUUAUCUUAAAUAAAAAUUAUUAUUAUUAUUUUUUAAAUGUAUUCCUUAAAUAUAAAGGUUUGUUUAACCAUUAUUUUUUUAUAACAGUUUUUUCUUCUCCUUAAUAAAAAAAAAAAAAACAUGUUGGAAAUUAUUUUUUGUUUUUUAUUCUUAAAAACAAAAAAUUUGAUAUUUUUUAAAAUAUAUUUUAAUUAUUUUUAUUUAUUUUUUAGGAUUGUUUUAGAAACAGAAGGAUUAAAAAUAAAGUGUUGAAUCUAAAAAUUAUUUUUAAAAUAUAUUUAAAAUAAAUUAAAGAUAUUUUAGUUUCAAAAGAAAAAAUUAUUUUUUUAGAAUUAUUUUUAAAAAUAGUUAUCAUCACCGAGAAACUAAAAUACUAAUGAAAAAAUUGAAAAUGGUUCCAUGUCUGUACCGCCUUUUCUGACUUUUGAAUGCCUUUUCACACUGCCAGCCGGUAUCUCUUAAAUCAUUUUUCCAUUCCGCGGGCAGGUAAGUUGGCUGGAAUUUUAUAUUUUUAUUAUACUAUUAAUUUUUAAAAUUUUUCUAUUUAUCAAAUAUUUUAUAACAUUAAAAAAAAUUAAGAAUAAUUUUUAAAAGUAAUUAUAAUUUUUCAAAAAACAAAUAUGUGUUUUUUCAAUAUGAAAAAUAAGUGUGCAUAAUAUAAAAUUUUAAAUAUUUCUCAUAUUUUUAAUUAUAAUUCAAAAUUUUAUAUAAAUAAUAAUUAGAAAACCUAAAAUUGUUGGUAAAAAUAGUUUAUUUUUAAAAUAAAUUCUUAAAACUAUUUUUAAUUAUUUAUAGUAAACAUAAAUAUAUCAAAUAUGCUUUUUUUGUUUUAAAUAACAAGAGAUAUUUUUUAAAAAUGUUUUUAAAUAAUCGAAACACAUUUUUUCUUAUGAAUUUAAUGGUUUUUUUUUUUUUUUUUUGGAAAAUGUGAUUAUUUGACAAACCAUUUUGAAAGCAGGGAAUUUGAGGGACGCAUGUAACUUUAUUUUAUUUUUGAUCUAUUUUCAUAUUCCUAUAAUUAUUUUUUAAGUUAGUCAUAUAAAAUUUUCAAUCUAGAAUUGCAGGUGAGUCCAGCCAUCAGCCAUGAACUGGGCUUAGAGGCGGUGAAGUUAUAAAACCUCUUUCCAUUGUAUAUUGAAUCCAAAUUUUCUAAAUUUAAGUUUUUAAAAAAAUUGAUAAUUUAACUUAGAUGGAAGACUUGAUUUGACACCUCUCUUUAGAUAUCUCCGCAAUUUAGAUAUUUGUUUCCAUUCGAUGUCACUCCCUCAUGCAUAUUACGCGUCCCGGCAUUUUUUAAUUAAUCCUUUAAAAAAUCUGGUAGAAUUUGGGGAUAAUUUCUGUGCAAGUUCGAGGAUGCUUCCUCUGGUGUAUAAAUUUAGGGGGUCUUGCUCAGCUCAACCCAAGAGAUUCAACACAACUUUAGCUUUCCUGGUUGUGUUUAAGUUAGCCGGAAAACCUCCAUUGUUUCCGGCAAUGAAGGAUCCCACUAGAAAGAGGAUAUUAGAGUGCUGAAAAUUAAAGAAACAAAAUUUGAUUUGUGUCUUUUUGGAGCUGUUUUCAGAAUAUUCCUUUGCCUUUUUGGCUUCUUCUGGGCCCCGCCUGUGAUGUCGGGGGUACGCCAUGAGCAGCGUGGCUGUGACGGUGGUGGUGAUCGGGAACAGAUUCGAGCUGGAAUUCUCGUCAUGCACAUCCCUACCAGAAAAUAUCGCCGGCUUUGGCGCCGGGAUUGGACCGUGAGAAGAUUCGUAGCGCUGUGUAAGAAGGCUUCUAUCCCAACUGGGCCCUCUUUGCUGUCAGUGGCUCCAUUGUUGCAGUCUCAACAGCUGAGUAGAGCUUCUUCUGCAAGAUCUAUGCUGACUUAUAAUGAUAAUGGAGUUCCUUCCCUGUCGUCGGCAGUGCCAUUGCUGCAGUCUGAAGAACCCAAUGAAGCUUCAUCUGCAGGGUCUCAUUCAGCUCUGGGCGUGGACUCUGAACAACUCAAUGGGGAUUCGUCGGCACCCUCUCAUUUGGGCGUGGACUCUGACGAGACGUCUACUGAAAAUAGAGCUCCAGUACUGGAAUUCUCUAAGCAAACUUCUACUGAUAAUGGAUCUCCUUCAAUGUUUCAACGGCUGCAGUCUCAGCUCAGUAGAGCUUCAUCUGUGCGGUCCCAAUUCGCCAUUGACCCUAAGAGGACUAAUAUUGGUGACCAUGGAGCUCCUUCACCGUCGUCAACAGUGCCAUUGCUACAGUCUGAAGAACCCAAUGAAGCUUCAUCUGCAGGGUCUCAUUCAGCUCUGGGCGUGGACUCUGAACAACUUAAUGGGGAUUCGUCGGCACCCUCUCAUUUGGGCGUGGACUCUGACGAGACGUCUACUGAAAAUAGAGCUCCAGUACUGGAAUUCUCUAAGCAAACUUCUACUGAUAAUGGAUCUCCUUCAAUGUUUCAACGGCUGCAGUCUCAGCUCAGUAGAGCUUCAUCUGUGCGGUCCCAAUUCGCCAUUGACCCUAAGAGGACUAAUAUUGGUGACCAUGGAGCUCCUUCACCGUCGUCAACAGUGCCAUUGCUACAGUCUGAAGAACCCAAUGAAGCUUCAUAUGCAGGGUCUCAUUCAGCUAUGGGCGUCCCUGGGCGGCCUUCAACUGAUAAUGGACUUGCUUCAAUGUUUCCAGUGCUGCAGCCUUCAUCAACUGGGUCUAAUUUGACCCUUGAUCUGAAGAACACUUCUACUGGUAAUGGAUCUCCUUCAGUGUUGCGGGUGUGGGAGUCUCAAUUCAGGGGAUCAGCUUCAUCUUCUCAGUCUCAAUUGGCCAUUGAACCCAAGAAGAUUUAUAGUACCGGUGAAGAGGCUCCUUCACCCUCCUCAAUGGUGCCACUGCGGCAGUCUGAGUCUGCUCAGACUCAUUCAGCCAUUGACGUUCAGUCUGAUAACGCAGAGGAUGAGGAACUACAAAGGACUAUUGCUCGGAUUUUCGAAGAGAAAAACCUGAAUUGGCUGCGAGAAUUUGGUGGGGCUGAGAGACUGGCCUUCGCUUUUGGUUCUAAUUUGGUGUCCGGAAAGAAUACAGGGUUUGGAGAAUCCAGAGUCACCUACAAGAAACAAGUUCUUGCCAAAGAUUUUCCAGGCUUCUUCGUCAGAGCUUGCAACAGUUAUACAAUCUUCCUCCUAAUCAUCUCGGCUUGUUUUUCUCUUGUAUUUGAGAUGGUAGAAAAAAGCCCCAAAAACGGGUGGCAUGAUGGGGCUGCUACAUUUCUCGCUGCAUUAUUCAUCGUCACUAUGAACUCAGGUUCUAGCUUUCGCCAAGCAAGAAAGCGGGAGAAGAACAUGUUAAACGAGAGAAGAAUUGAAGUGACAGUAAUACGAAGCGGACAGCGUGAAACUGUCCCCAUCUAUGGCAUCGUGAAGGGCGACUUGUUGUGCCUGCAGAAAGACCAAACAGUUCCAGCUGAUGGUUUGUUGGUCUAUGGUAGCAUAGAGGUGGAUGGGCGUUCAGACAAAAACAUAGACUGCCAUCAGAAUCCGUUUCUUUUUUCGGGUUCCAUGGUAGUUGGGGGGGAUGGCCACAUGCUAGUAACAUCUGUUGGCAGUAACGUUGUGAGCUUCAAGGAGGCCCUGCUCGAAGCUCGGAUCAGCAAGCCCAAUACUUGUGCUGAAUUUUUUUCUCUCUGCAUGGCUUUGCUUAUUGUUCUAGUGUUGUUUCUGCGCUUCUUACAUAAAAAACAUCACUACCAUGAUGGUGGAUCAUCAAAUAUAAAGGGCGAAAUCACUGUCCAAGGAGUGUUGAAGAUUUUUGAGAGAAUGCUCUUGAAACCCCGAGGGACAAUCAGCAUUUUGACAUCUUUCCUCGCGGCAGUGGUGAUAGGGAUACAGCAUGGGAUGCCUUUUGUGAUCUCGAUCUCACUCGCGUACUGGAAUGAGAAAAAGGCAACGGACGAUUUGGUUCCCCAAAAUUUAUCAGCCUGUGGCACCAUGGGUCUUGUUACAGUCAUCUGCAUUGACCUAUCUGGAGGACUAAUUGGGGAAGAAGAAGCUUCUGAGAUGUUAGAAGAUGAGAUCGAUUCUGUGGGGCAAAUGAAGAAAGUGGUGAGGACUUUUCAAAUGGCAGGAGUAGAUGUCAAAUUGGUUUCAGGGGAUGAUGGAUCGUCAGCCUUAACUAAUAGAGCUCGUGAGCUAGGAUUAGAUAUUAGUCCCGGUUCAACUGAUUGGGCAGUUGAAGGCCAAGACAUCAGAAACCACAACACAGAUGAACUGAAAAGACUUGCCGAUGGGAUCAAAGUGAUGGCAAAAUUCCUCCCCAAGGACAAGCUUUCCAUGGUACAGUGCCUCAAAGAGAAUGGCCAUGUAGUAGCCUUCUAUGGAGGCUCAACAGCAAAGGAUGCACUGGUACUGAAAGAAGCCGAUGUAGGGAUCAGUGAUGAAAAGAGCACCGAGAUGGCCAAAAAGAGCUCUGACAUUAUCAUCAGCUCAUACAAAGGUUUCAUUUCAUUGAUCCAAAUCUGGAAGUAUGGAAUAUGGGCUUACCACAACAUUCAGAAGUUCAUCCAGCAUCAGCUCACUGUCAAUGUUUCCAGCCUAGUGAUAACUUCAGUUGCAACAAUGGCCUUAGGAGAAUCCCCAAUAACUCUAAUUCAGUUGAUCUGGGUGAAUCUGGUUACAUCCAUUCUAGGUGGCUUGAUGCUUAUAAUGGAGCCAAAAAUCCAGGAACCACACACCCUCCAAGCUGCAGGUAACAGAAAUGAAUCAGUCAUAACCAAGGCCAUGUGGCUAUGCAUUUUGACACAAAUACUAUACCAGGCUUCUGUUUUGUUGGUUUUUCUCUUUAAGGGAGAAGCCAUACUGGGCAUUAACAGAAGGGUUAUUAAAGCCAUGAACGGAAGGGUUAUUAAAGCCAUGAUUUUCAAUAGUUUCGCCCUGUGCCAAGUCUUCAACUAUGUCAAUGCCAUGGACCUAGAGAAGAAAUGGUCUGGUCAGGUUAAGCAAAAGGGCUGCUUACUGGUUGCGGAGGGGGCAGCGGUGGCUGUGCAGGUACUGGUGGCUGAAAUUUGGGCGAGGUUGAACUGGGUGCAGUGGGCUUUCUGUUUCCUCAUUGCUGCCCUUUCAUGGGGCUUGGGGUUGGCCAUGAAAGCUCUUUCACCCUUCAUGAUCAACUGUUCGUUUAUUUCCAUUACUUCACAUCUUAGGCACUCGGGAUGGAUGCCUUCACGCCAUGAUUUCUGCUUCAUCAUCUUUUCGUCAUUGUUUUUUCUUUUCUGAUUCUCACAUUGUUUCAACCCAGAUGUAGCCCGGGCUUCCGACUAGCAAACAUAUUACAUUAAUUUAACCAGAUAGCCCGUGGCUUAGGCCUAUUUGCUACAAUAGGGAACCUUUUUCUUCACUUUGGUCGCUUGUCAUUGUAUCUAGCUUGUUUGAGUGAUGUAGCCAUUGCCAUUCUUCCUAACGAGUGGUUAAAGCAUUCCAUUACUGUGUUUUAGCCAUUGUGAAAUCAUGUGAAAACAGAUGUUAAAAUGCAGGUUUAGACUAGACUAAAUGGAACACCCCAAAACUACCAACAAUCACUCAUUCUAUUUGGUUUUGAGGUGUUUUUUUCUUUCAUCAAUCUAUUCGAAUUUAUUGCUCUCACUCCUUUAGUUUAUACUAUCAUGGAGUUCUCUUCCAAAACCCUAUGAUAUUGAGGAAAGAAGUACAAAGAUUUCGGAAGAAAAAGAUGUAAGACCAAUCCCUAAAUUCAAGGAACUCUUGCAAGGACUCCUACAUGAACAGCAUAAGCUGGAGGUUCUCAUCCUUUCUGCUAACAAAAUUCAUGGUCUAUUUCCAAAGUGGCUGUGGAACAUGAGCUAGAGCUUCUGGACCUUUCUCAAAACCUUCUUACAGGCUUUGACCAACUUCCAGCUGUUCUUCCAUGGUCCAAGAUGCGCAUUUUAGACCUUACUUCUAACAUGCUGCAUGGAUCACUCCCAGUUUCUCCAUCGUCAACCUUUGACUAUUCAGUCUCUGGAAAUGAACUGUCUGGACAAAUUCCACCUUUGAUCUGCAACAUGAGCUCCCUAAGUAUGCUUCAGGUGCUUGUUCUAGGAAACAAUCUGAUCAAUGAUAUUUCCCCUCGCUGGUGGGGAUCUCUCUUCUGAGGUAGCAGGCUCUCAUUUUGAGAUCCAACCUAUUCCAUGGUGCAAUGGGGAGCCCAAGAACAAAUUUUCAGUUUUCCAAGCAAUGGAUAGAGAGAGGCGGUUGCUGGACAAAACCGGCGGCAUUUUGCCAAAUUUAGCCAAGAAUCAAAACCAGAGCCCUAGAUCAAUAAAAAGACAGAAACAUGGUUUCCAUUUCAGAUCCAAAAGGGGUUGCACCACAGACAAUUUCAUCUUUUACAGCUCAUUAAAGCUCUUGUCCAAACUCACCUGGGUUUCUUCUUGGAUUUUUUAAAAUCCAUUGACUGGGUCAACCCUAUUGGUCCAUAAUCCAUAUCCAAUUUAAGAAUAUAUGUUUGGAAGUUAGGAAGCUUCCUAAAAUAUAUGUUUUAAAAUUAAUAAAUAAAUAUUUGACUUUGACCGUAAAAAAACAUUAAUUAUGUUCGAACCUUCUAUAACAUAGUGAAAAUCCAAUAAUUACUCUAUUUUGACUUGAAAAAUAAUAUCCGACGUUGGACUCAAAUUAUCUUGGACAACAUCCUUUCUUGUUACAAUAAUAUCUUCCACUUUUUGACCCAAGAAAUUUUAUUAUUUUCUUAUUAUAUAUAUAUGCAAUAUUUUUGUAAUGAAAAUUAAUUUGAUAUUAUUAAAAAAAAUAUCUUUAAAUAAUGAAGAUGUGUUAAGGAAUGUAUUAAAAAAUAGUUUUCAAUUAUUUUUAAAAAGUAAAACUUGAACUCAAGUAAAAUAUUACAUAUUUAUAUAUAAUGUAAAUUGUUUUGAUUUUUGUUUUUUUUUUAUUUUUUCAUUUUUAAUAUUUAUUUUAUGGCAUGGAAGUGUUGAGAUAUUAAGAAUACUUUCCGUAUAUCAUUCUUUCCUUAUAUUAUUUAGUGUUGAGAUAUUAGAAAUGUUUAAAUAUUAGGAAAGUUGAGAUAUUAAGAAUAUUGAGAUAUUAGGAAUAUUGAGAUAUUAGGAAAGUUGAGAUAUUAGGAUAUUAGUUGUUAUUUCUUUAUAUCAUUCUUUCUUUAUAUCAUUCAUUCUCAUUCUUAGAAUGGUGAUUACCCUCUAUAUAUACUUUGUACAUGAACAAAUGAAAGUAUGAAUGGAAAAAAACUACCAUUUAUCAAUUUAAAAAGGAAGAUGUCAUCUCAAUUUUUUUUUUAAAUUACAUUAUAUUUUUAUCAUUUAUAAUUAAUAAAUAAAAACUUUUAGUAUAUAAAUACUACUAUUUUAUUUUAAAUGGAAUAAUAAUAAUAAAAAUAUUUAUCUUAAUCUUGAAUUUUGUAUUAAAAAAUAAUUUAUAUCGAUUAAUUAUAAAAUAAGAAAUUAAUUAAUAUUUCUAUAUUUUUAUCCCUUUUACAUUUAAAUUUUAAAUUAAGGAAUAAACGUUUUCAAUUUUCAAGCUUGUCUAAUAACAUCAAUUUAAAAAUUAAAAGGAAAUAACUUUAUUUUUUUUAAACUAAUAUAAUAUAAUAUAAUUUGAAAAAAAAAAAAGAAGAGGGAAUAUGAUCACUUAUCAUAAAAUUAAAUAUAUAUUUAUCCUCAAGAUUCCAGAUUGAUUGAAAAUAAUUGUAAUCUAAUUAAAAGUUAUUACUUAAAAAAAUUAAGAAGUAUUAUGAAAGUGAAUGAGCAACAAAGUAAUAAAUAAAGUUUAAAAAUUUUAAAUAUUUAUUAUUUAUAGUAAACGGACUAAAAGAGUAUAAAACAAGAAUAUUAGUUUCAAUUUUUAAUACUAAUUCAUUAAAAUAAUUUAAAAUUUCAAAAUAAAAACCAAAAUAUUUUUUUUAAUCCAUAUCUAAUAUGAGAUGCACUUUUACAAAUAUUAUUUACUCAUACAAAAUACAUCCACAAUAAUUAUAAUUAUUUAAAUAUAUUGAAUUAACUACAUAAAAUUAAUUAAUUUUAUAGUACAUAUAUUUAUAAUAAUUUUACUAUUAGUUAAAAAAUAUUAUUAUUUAAAAAAAAAAAAAAAAAAAAAAACAUGUGGCAGAGCUCAUGUUAACAUAUUGACUCUAAUUUAAAUUUUUUUUUUCUUCUCAACAACAAGCCCUAACACAAAUUCCUUUAUUUGAAACUUGUUUAUUAACAAAAGAAUAUUUGAUAUAAGUUCAAUACUAAUUUCAAUAUUUUUAUAUAUUUUUUAAUAAGAUAUUAUUAUUAUGCUUGUAUUACGUGAAUAUAUUUUAGGGUUUAUGAUUUAUGUGAAUUUUCAUAAAGGCUUCUUAUAAAGAAAGUAAAUAAAAAAAACAAUUAUAAAUGAUUUAGAAACUAUUUAGAAGUGUGAAAUUUUGAAGAAAAAAAAACAGCAAAUAAAUGAAAAGAGAAAAAACAACAACCACUUUUGUUAUUAUGUUUUUGGUGAAUUUCAUUUCUUUUCUUGGUACAUCUUGCCUAAAUUCCAAUUCCUUGUACCUCACUACUUUGGUUAAUGCCCACCUACAUCUCUCUUCCUUGGUGGCGCCGCCUACUUUGGAUCCACACACGUACGUGUAGGGUAGUUCCUUGGUGGCACCGCCUAGUUUGGAAGUUGUUUUGAAUAAAUAAUGCAAUAAUGCAUGGUACUCACAGUUGGAAGUUGGAGACUUCAGAAAAGAGAUCUUAUAUAUUGGGGGAAGACGCAUGAGGUCUCAGAAUAACUCUGUAGGCAGAUUCAUGAAGCCCGUCUUUUGAUGAGGAGUGAAAGGAAUACUGUGGCCAAAUGGAUGACCCAGGAGAUGAGACUGAUGAGGGAACAGAAAGCCAAGUGCACCCAGUUCAACCUCACCCAAAAUUCAGUGGCUCCCACCACCUGCAUGACUGUAAAAGCCCCCACCACACCCACAAAGCGAUAGUUGUGUAGGUCAUAAAACUUUGCCGUUUCUGGGAUUAAUGGUACUGGUACGGGGCUGAAAUAACUGGGCACCUGGUAGAGGAUGAAAGAAAAGAAAAUCACGGCUUUUCUGACCUUCUGAUUGAUGUGUUUCAUGCCUGGUACAGCCUCUCCCUUGAACUGAAACAUGAGCAAAACAGCAACCUGGUACAGUACUUGGAUCAAUGUGUUUCCCCACAUUGCCUUUGUGAUAAUCCAUGCAUUUCUCUUACCUGGUUCAAUGCUACCUAGUUGCUGGUUUCGGGGCUUCGUUACAAGCAUGAAGCCGCCCACAAUCCCCAAAAUCAGAUUCAAAUACAGCAAGUGGAAAAUGGUGAUUGAGGUUUCUCCCAGGCAUAUUGAUUCGACUGCAGUGGUGAGUAAGAUGGUAAGAUUGCUGGUGACAUGAAUGUGGACGAACUUCUGGAUGCUGCGGUAAGCUAGUUUGCCAGAGGCUAAAAUUGGGAUUAAUGAAGUGAGACUUUUGCCUAUAUCGAUGUCAGAGAUCUCUACUGCCAGUUGGGUGCUCCGAUUUCCUGUCGUGAUCCCUAUGUCAGCUUCUUUCAGAACUGGGGCAUCCCUUGCGGUUAAGCCUCCAAGGAAUGCUACAACAUGGCCUCUUUGUUUCAAGGAUUUUACCAUGAGAAGCUUCUCCGUGGGGAGGGAACUCCACAGGAGGGUGAUCUGAUCAGCUGUUUCCGCCCUGACAUCAUCGCUGAGUUCUCUAAACUCAUGGCCUUUGAGUGUCUGACCAUCAUCAUCUGAACCAGGACUAAAUAAACCCAACUCCCUAGCUAUGGGUCUCGAGGUUGGCAGAUCAUCCUGGGAUACCAGUUUGAUGAUUAUACCGGCGUUUUUGAAAGUCCUCACCACUGAUUUGAUCUCCUCCAGACAGUAGUACUGUUUAACACCCACUAGUGCUAAUAAGAUUAACCCAUUCUCCUCAAGUUCUAUGACUUCUGUCUGCUUGUAAGCAAAUGCAAUGGGUUGGAGACCGCUACCCUCCAUUUCUUUAAUCACUUUCUCAAAUUUGCUUUUCUGUUUCUCAAUGGCAUGAAUCUCACCUCCACAUUCAUAGUAACGUGAGCACAGGUCCAAUAUGGUCUCGGCAUCUCCUUUCCAGUGCAAGUGCAAAAUGUUUUCAUCGUCAUCACUGUUUCUUAACAAAACCCCAUUACCUUCCUUGUUGGAACUUAAUUUUCCAUCACAGACAGCUGUAGAUCUUUGCUCCAGAAGCUCCAUUUUGAAGCCCCGUUUGGACUUUGCCCAACAAAUGAGAGCAUCAUCUGCUGAAGUAAGAGGAAUUCCAGGCACAAGACCCAUCGCUCCAACUCCUCGGCUCAGAGCCUCAAGCACCACUGGGGACACUUCAGAAUGACCAUCAUCAUGAUCAUCAGCUAUAUCUUCCUCACCUAUCCAGAACCUGUUAACCUCCAUCCUGUCACUCGUUAAUAUCCCACCUGAUAUGUCUAUGCAUAAGACUGUGACAAUGCCCAAUGUUCCACAAGCUGAUAAACUUUUAGGGUUUAGGGUUAUGUUACUGGAUCUACUUCUCCCAUUCCAGUAAGAGAGGCAACCUGAAAUCACAAAAGGAAUCCCAUGCUGUAAUCCCAUCACAACAGCAGUGAGGAAAGCUGCCAAAAUCCGGACCUUCCCUUCCGAGUUCAAGAGUACCUUCAAAGUAUCCAUCACCCCCUUUAUCCCAACUUCUCCCUUUACUUGCUGUGAUACAUCGUAAUUAAUGUCUCUCCUAAUUAAAGAGCGUAACAGUAAAAUAAGACCAACUAACAGUAUAGAAAUAACGAGUGCAGAAUCGUCUACCAAAGCAAUGGGUUUGUUGAUCCUUCCUUCGAGCAAUGCCUCUUUUGUCAGAUUCUUAAUAUUUGCAUGAAGAUUAUGCUUUCUGAGCCGAGGUUCAAGCAGUAGCUUGUCAUCUGCAUGGUCAGUCACCAAACUCAUUGCCGUGCCCAAUUCUGUAGCGUUACCAGCAGAUGUUACCAACAUAAGGCCAUCCCCCUGAAUUACCUUGGAACCAGCAUAGAGAAAUGGAUUCUGAUCACAGCUGAUAUUUUUGUCUAAUAUCCCAUCCAACACUAAGCUAUUACCACCAACCAGCAGACCAUCAGCAGGAACCAGGCUGCCCUUCCUCAAGCGCACUAUCAUGUCCUCCCCAAUCUCACAGAUGGGAACCAAGUGGGACUGUCCACUUCUAAUAACCUCCACCUGUAAUCCGUUUUCCUCAAUCAAUCUCUUCUUCAUCUGACGUGCACGUCGGAAUCUAGAAACUGAAGUAAAACUGAGAAUUAAGAAUAGGGCCAUAAGUAUCCCAAAGCCAUCGUGCCACCCUUUCUGGGUGCCUUUUUCCCACAUCCCCAGUGCAAGAACCAACGCACCUAGGAGCAGGAGUAUGACAUUGGUGCGCCUUUUGCAAGCUUGGAGAAAGAAGCUACCUAUUUCAUAAACUGGGGUUUUGGUACAUUCCAAAAAUUCUGGGCCAUCUCCAGCAACUUUUCUAGCCCCCAGGAGGGGACCCAAAUUCAAGAAUACUUGUUCUGCUCCACCCAAUCUUCUCAGCGCAUUCAAGAAUUUCUUUUCUACAAUCUUAGCAACAGCUUUCCAUAGUUGCUGCCCUUCAUCCUCAGGCAAGUUGUUUCUCCCUAGUUGAGCGUUCCAGUCUUUCUCUUCCUUAAGAAUCUCCGAGAUAGCAAUGGUCUGUAGUUGCUGCACUUCUUCCUCCUGGACUAAAAUAGCUGGCGGAGGAUCCAAGUCCUCAUCCUCAAUUUUAACCAUUGCGUUGAGUAGGAGGUGCUGUCCAUCUUCCUCGUAAUUUUUGCUUAUGCCGGCGCCCUCCUCACUUUUGAAUGAGGUGUUCAUGUUGCACAAGUCGACCACAACUUGGCCACUAGAUGCACUAAAUGAACAAAUUACACUGUGAACUGCCUUCGACUUGAGCUGUCCAAUAACUGAAUUCACACCAUCAUCGUUGUUAUAGGAUCCAUUGCCCACCGCACAUUGAGACGGAAUAGACAAAUGAAUAGCAACCUCGUCAAGCUGCAACGGCAAAGUAAUUCUCGGAGAAGAAUCUCCAUCAUUGGACGCUCCUACCAUAGAACCAACCUCUACUUCAUGAGGCUGCCGCUUAUAAUUCCUGGGGGAACAAGCCUUGGCAUCAACCGUGGUUUGUUCAGCCAGUCCUCUAACAACAGUGGACUGAUCAAGCACUCUGCAGGCAACCGUGAUCUGCCCAGCUAAUCUGGCGUCAAGUUUGGUCUGCUGAGCCAGCCCGUCGUCAACCUGGUUUUGUUCAACUAAUUCGCCAUUAAACGCGGUCUUCUGAGACAGCGUGCCUUCAAGUGCGGACUGCAAGAUGGCCGCUGCAGCUAUCCAUGGCCUGCUUGGUAGUGCUGCAUUCACCCGAGAUGGUAGUGAACUACCGUCUUCAGUGGAGCCUCUGGGAAGUCGACCUAGCUGCUUAUGGUCCUUGUGAGUGUCAUGGCCGUCGACGUCUGUGUGCGUACCGUGGUUGUCGACAUCUAUGUGAGUAACAUCGCCGUCGAAGUCUACGGGAGUACCACAGACGCCGUUGACGUCUUUGUGAGUACCGUUGUCAUCGACGUCUGUGUGAGUAGCAUCGCCGUCCCCGUCCCCGUCGACGUUUGAGUGAAUACCGAGGCCGUUGGCGUAUUUGUGAGUACCGUGGCCGUCGACGUCUAUAAGAGUACCAUCACCGUCCCCGUCGAAGUCUACGUGAGUACCAUCGCCGUCUAUGUGAGCACCAUCGCCGUUCCGAUCGAAGUCUACAUGAGUACCAUCGCCAUCGCCGUCAAAGUGUAUGUGAGUACCAUCGCCAUCACCAUCGACGUCUGUGUAAAUACCGUGGUCGUCAGCAUCGCGACGAUCUAUUGAUGGUCGGAGCUGGGCCGCCUGUGUGUUCAUUGAGCUGUGUGAGACCCACGAAGUCCCAUGACCAUAUUGUGCUGUUUAUACUGGGAGGCCUGCACCGAACUCCUGAGUGUUUCCGUUUAUGGUUGGAGGCUGCACUACUCGGUAGAUUGACCAGUCAUUCUCCUCCUCAUUCUCUUCUUUCCCUUUCCUGCGAGUGGCCUAAAGUACCUGGACGAGUUUGUAAAAAAAAUACUGCUAAUUAAUGGGUUUUGAUCCAAACGCAAGAUUCUGCAAAAUAAACAUGGUUAUCAGUCACAGGACUAUAAGAGCAUUUUGGUCUCAUUUUACCCUCAACUAAAGCUAACAUGUUGCCACUCCUCAGUCCUUGCUCUGGCCCUGCCACAGAAAUUCAAGUCCUGUGGAUCCCAUCCUAGUACGCGAGCCCGCUGAGACCGCCGUUUUCUUCCUUGGACCGAAAGGAGCUCCCCGGAAUGAAAAAAGACCUGCUGCACAAGCUUGGCCGGCUUGGCCAGCUCCCCAUCCCCGCUUAUAAAAUUAUUCCUCAUUCCCAUUACUCUACUUAAGGAUGGGUCCCAUUAAAAAAAUUAUAAAGUAAUAUGAAUAUAGUGAUUUUAACCAUUAUUAAAUCACAUGCCCGACGAUUAAACCAUGGUCCAAUAAUUUUUUGGAUUUAAUGAUUGAUGUGAUUCCAAAAAUAUUGGAUGUGAGUUAAAAAAAAAAAAAACCUUAAUUAAAUUAUUUGUUUUUUAUUAAUAUCUAAUAUUGUUAAGGGUCAAAUUCAUUUAUUUUUAUAUGUUAAAACCUUUAUGAAAUCAUUUAUUAAUUUUUUUUUAUUUUGAUUCGAAAACUAUGUUUUCACAAACAAUUUUUUAGAUUUUGUUUAAAAAAAAAAACAAGAGUGUUUGAUAAGAUAUUUUAAAAAAUAGUUUUUAAAAACAAAAAAUAAAAAACUUAUUUGAAUGAAAGAAUUUGUAUUAUUUUUAAAAAUAACCUCUUAUUUUUAUAUUGUAAGAGUUUUAUAAAUUUAAUUUAUACUAAUGUGAAAUUAAAUUCUUUUAUACUAAGGUAAAAAAAAAUAAUUUUUUAUUCUUGUGAAACAAAAAUUAAUUAAAAUAAUUUUAAAAUUCAUUUUUAACAUAGGGCAAAUAAGUAUUUCAAUUUUUAUUUUUUUUCUAUGGAUAAAAUAACUAAAUAUUAAAUUAAAAGUAGCUAGAAAAAAAUAUAAUAAUAAAAAAAAUAAAUAAAAACGACCCUUUCCUCAAAGCUCUAUCCAAGUAAAAAUGCUCCCUCAAAUUUUGGUUUCUUGGAUUAGAAACAGUGUGGAGAAAGGGGGGAAACAAUGAGCUUGUGCCCACUGCCCACUGCUCAAAAGAUCACCGUAACGGUUAAAAAUUUUAAACUCUGGGCCUUGGGCCCCUAUUGCAAUUAUAGAUCUUGAGGCCAAUAUUCGAGCUAAAAGGGCUUCAGGCCCAUGACUGAUCCACUCACCAAAGGAAGGAGAAGGCGGGACUGAGAAGUGGUGAGAGAGACUCAAAGGACUGGGGAGUCGUCAUUUCAUAUUGCUCGGAUAACUCGGGUUCCUAUGGGUUGUGAUGAAUUAUCAAACCAUAUAUAAACUAUAUUAUAAAAUAAGAUUUUAAAAGUUAAAUAUAUAUUUGAAACUCAUAAAAUCUAUUAAACUCAAGUUUUAAUAUUUAAAAAUAUUUUAAAUAAUAAAAAAUAAAAAAAUUCUUAGUCUAAUAUUAUUAAAAAUAGUAAAUAUUAAAAAAAAAUAUUAUCUCUUUUAUUGUUAUAAUUUAGGUAGGUUGAUCAAAUUGAUGGUUAACUCAACUCAAUCCAAAUUAAGAAAUAAUCAAUCCAAUCUCAACUCAAACUCAUUUUUUUAUAUUUGGAUUGAAUUUGAGUUGGUUGAGUUCAACCCGGGUUGAUUAAGUUGGAAGAUACAAAAUUCAUCUAAAGUGGCUAUUAAAAAACUUUUUUGUAUAUAUUUAUACCAAAACAAUAUAAAAUUUAAAGAUAAGAAUAAAAAAUAAAUAAAUAUAAAUAUAUAUAUAUAUAUAUAUAAAUAAAGGAAUAUUAAAUAUAAAAUAAUAAACAUUAUAAUUAUUAUAAAAAUAUUAAAUGGGUUUGAGUUAGUUUUAGGUUAUGAUUGGGCUAUCUGAACUUUGAUCUGAGCUCAACUCAAAUUAAAUUCGAGUUGAGAAAAUUUAACACAAACUCAACAUAAGUUAUAAAAAUAUUUACUUAAGUAUUAUAAUUAUUAUAAAAAUAUUAAAUUAGUUUCGGGUUAGGUUGAUAUUAUAAAAAUAUUAAGUGAGAUCAAAUUCUUCUAGAUUGUAAUAAAACAGGAAGUCUCAAAACUCAUUGGUGUCCAAUUCCGGGUUUUUUCAAAACAUCUUUUCAUGAAAAUUAAUAUGACCUCCCAUAUGAAUAAAUGUUGGAAAAUGAGAAGAGGUCUCCAUAUUCCUUUUUGCUUCCUCAUACCAUCUAAUUUGUGAAAGCUUUUGACUCAAUCUCUGCCUCCCCUGUGUUUUGGGCCCCUUUUUCUUACUUUUGUGACCCCAUGGUUUCUCAUAGUUCACACUGCAAUGUUUUUAAGUCCCUCUCUUAGGCCAUUUGAUAAUUAUUUUUUUUUAAAAAAUUAUAAAAUAAAAUUUAAGAACAUUUUUGUAAAAUUAUUUUUUUGAUAUUUUAUAUUAGAAUAAAAGUCUAUUUAGUAAUUUGAAAUAUUUUGAACAUAUUUCUAAUAUUUUUAAAUAUGUUUUAAAAUAUCAAUUAUAUCUAGUACUUUAUUUUUAAUCAUUUUAUACAUCUAUAUAAUUAUUCUUUAAAAUAAGUUUUAUAAAAUAAAUAAAAAUAACUCAAAACGUUAAAUAAUUUAUUUUAAAACAUCUUAUUUUCUGUUUUUUAAUAGUAGAAAGCAAAAAAUAAUUUUUUAUUGUCAAACAUAUUUUUUUAUUUUUUUAUUUUAAAAAACAAAAAAUUAUUCUUGUUACCAAACAAUCCCUUAAUUCUUUUUUUUUUUCCUUCUUAGAUGGGAGUUGGUUGGCAUAGAACAUUUACAUCCUAGUCAACUUUUGAAUUCAUAUUUUAUUAUAUUAUUUUUCAUUUGAAGAAAUCAAAGUAAAUUUUAAAAAUUUUAUAUUUAUUAAAUAUUUUAAGUUUAUUUUCACUUUUUUUAUUUAAUGUUUCAACUAAAUACAUCUCAUCAACAUUAUUUUGAAAUUUAAUUAAACAUUUUUUUUUACCUUUUCCCCUUCAGUAUUUUCAUUCACCCAUCUUUUAUUUUAAAAUAAAACAAAUAUUUAAUAAAAUUUCGAACUAACGUUUAGAUUAUCAAACUUAUGUUUUUGGUCUACAAAAAGGAAAAUGAAAAAAAUAAAAAAUAAAAUUCUAAUGAUUUUACUUUUUUUAAAAAUAAAAAAAAAGCUAUAGUUUCAUUUUUGAAAAAAAAAAUACUAAUUUGAGUUGAUUAAAUUUAUUAAUUUUUAAAAUUUAGAAAAAAAAUAAAAUUUAAUAUAUUAAAAUUUUAUUAUCUUAGAAUUUACAUGAGUAUUAAAACUAAUAAAAAUUUUAAAAAUUUAUGAUAGGAUUGUUGAGAUUCAUUAUUAAUAUUAAAAAAUAAAAAUAUUAUAUGACAACAAUUGGGUUUGGUUUUAAAGGAUUCCAAUGCCUACCGACCAGGUCAGACCGUGAGAGAGAGGGAGAGAGAGGCCGGCAACUUAGACUUUUCUUAGUUAUCUUUUUCAAGGAUAAGUACUUUUUAUUGGACUCCUUCGCCUUAUUAUAUUUUUAAAAUAUUAUAUAUUUUUAUUUUCAAAAUAUUGCUCACCAAAGCCUCUUAAGCUAAGAGGAUGUUUAAUUAAUGGGUAAUCUUGUCUUUAAAAAAAAAUACUCUACAUUUUAAAAAGUAUUUUUAAAAAAUAUAACAACAGUAAAACUAUUUUUAAAUUUGAAGUUUGAUUAUUUUCUGAAGAAAUAAAUGAGAGGUUUAUACUUAUUAUUUAAUGGUUUAAAUUGAAUUUAAAUUCAAUUAUAUUUAAAUAGUUAACUUAAAACUUAUUUCUUUAUUCUUUCUAGUUCCAAUUGUCGUAAAUAAUUUUUAAAUCAUCGAAUUUUCUAAAAUACCGUAUUUUUAAUAUUUUAAAAAAUCUUAGAAAACACAAUCCAAGUUGUUUAUCACUAGGACAUGAUUGAAUCAUGGUACCAAAAGAUGGUAUCAACCAAGGCAUUGCAUGUACAUUUUGAUCUCACUCCAAUUUCAUUAUCUGAUAUCUUGAUUUUUUUUAUUUACUUCAUAGACUCGAAACUAAAAUUUCAAAUAAGAUAUUGAAUUAGUACCAUAAAUUUUUCCACGUGUAGGAUUAAUAUGUGGAAGGAGUGCAAAACCAUAAAUCAGCCCCAUAGAUUUCACCAGAACACCAUGGAAACUGUUUCUCCAAAGCAAAUACUUAAAUAUUCGUGUCGAAGUUAGAAAGAGAUGUAUCAGAAAAUUCCACGCGUUUUGUAAAUUUCUGUGUAGGUUCUGGGAUGAUUCCAUCUCAUUUUCAUGGUGAGUCCCCACCAGUAUAAAUGUGCGAAAAAGCACUAGUGUCAGCACAGAAAUUUGGUUGUGGAAUUGAUAAGAAAAGUCUUGAUACUUCCUUGGUUUUGUUGCAGUUUAUCCGAAACCUUCAUUGGUUCCGGCAACGAAGGAGUCCAACAAGGGAGGGAAGAGGAUAUAUGAUCAGAUCUAGCGCGGAAACUUGCAGAAGCAAAGUUUGAUUUGUGUGUUUUUGGGGCUGUUUUCAGAAUUUUCCUUUACCUUUUUGGCUCCUUCUGGGCCCGGCUGUGAUGGCGCGGAAAAGCGAUGAACGGGUCGACUGUGAUGGUGAUGGUGAUGGGGAGUCGAUUCAAGCUGGAAUUCUCAUCAUACCCUCCUCUACCGGAAAAUAUGACCGGUUUUGGCUCCGGGGUUGGAACGUGGGAAGAUUCAUACGGCUGUGUAGGAAGGCUUCUUUGCUGAAGGCAGCCUCUCAACAUGUGACUAGAUUUCCUUCUGCAAUAGUUCGUUUGGCUCUUGACCACAGUGAUAAUGGAGUUCCUUCCCCGACAACAGUGCCAUUGCUGCAGUCUGAAGAACCCAAUGGAGCUUCAUCUGCUGGGUCUCAUUUGGCCAUGGAACCUCAUGAAGAGCCUUCAUCUUCUCCAGUGUUUCGGAUGCGGCAGUCUCUACUCAGGAGAUCAGCUUCAUCUGCUCAUCAGUCUCAAUUGGCCAUUGACCCUAAGAAGAGUUAUACUGCUGAUGAGGCUCCUUCACCCUCCGCUACGGAGCCACUGCUGCCGUCUGAUUCUGCUCAGACUCAUUUAACCAUUGACGUUCAAUCUGAUAACGCAGAGGAUGAGGAACUACAAAAGAAUAUUGCUCGGAUUUUCGACGAGAAUGACCUGGAUUCGCUGCAAAAAUUUGGUGGGGCUGAGAAACUGGCCUUGGCUUUUGGUUCUAAUUUGGAGUCCGGAAAGAAUACAGUGUCUGGAGAAUCCAUAGUCACCUACAAGAAACAAGUUCUUGUCAAAGAUUUUCCAGGCUUCUUCGUCAGAGCUUGCAACAGUUAUACAAUCUUCCUCCUCAUCAUCUCGGCUUGUUUUUCUCUUGUAUUUGAGAUGGUAGAAAAAGGCCCCAAAAAUGGGUGGCGCGAUGGGGCUGCUAUAUUUCUCGCUGUGUUAUUGAUCGUCACUGUGGACUCAGUUUCUAGCUUUCGGGAAGCGAGAAAGCAGGGGAAGAACACGGAGAGAGGAAUUAAAGUGACAGUAAUACGAAGAGGACAGUCUGACACCAUCUGUGGCAUUGUGAAAGGCGACUUAGUAUGCCUGGAGAAAGACCAAACAGUUCCAGCUGAUGGUUUGCUGGUCAGUGGGAGCUUAGAGGUGGACGGGCGUUCGGACAAACACAUAGACAGCAAUCAGAAUCCGUUUCUCUUUUCAGGUUCCAUGGUAGUUGGGGGGCAUGGCCGCAUGCUAGUAACAUCUGUUGGCAGUAACGUUGUGAGCUUCAAGGAGCCCCUGCUCGAAGCUCGGAUCAGCAAGCCCAAUACUUGUGCUGAAUUUUUUUCUCUUUGUAUGGCUUCCCUCAUUGUUCUAGUGCUGUUUCUGCGUUUCUUGCACCGGAAACAUGACUACGAUGAUGGUGGAUCAUCACAGAUAAAGGGCGAAAUCACUGUCCAAGGAGUGUUGAAGAAUUUUGAAAGAAUGCUUUUGAAACCCCGAGGGACUAUCAGUAUUUUGACAUCUUUCCUCGCAGCAGCGGUGAUAGGGAUACAGCAUGGGAUGCCUUUUGUGAUCUCCAUCUCACUUGCCUACUGGAAUGAGAAAAAGGCGACGGACGAGGUGGUUCCUCAAAAUUUAUCAGCCUGUGGCACCAUGGGCCUUGUGACAGUCAUCUGCAUUGACCUAUCUGGAGGACUAAUUGGGGUAGAAGAAGCUUCUGAGAUGUCAGAAGAUGAGAUCUCUCUGAGGCAGCAGCACCAGAGAAAAAUGGAAGAAGCGGUGACGACUUUUAAAAUGGCAGGAGUAGACAUCAAAUUGGUUUCAGGGGAUGAUGAGUUAUCAGCCUUAAUAGAUAAAGCUCGUGAGCUUGGAAUAUAUAGUGUCGGUUCAACAGAUGAGGCAGUUGAAGGACAAUACAUCAGAAACCUCUGUGCUGAUGAACUGAAAAGACGAGCCGAUCAGAUCAAAGUGAUGGCAAAAUUCCUCCCCAAGGACAAGCUUUCCUUGGUACAGUGCCUCAAAGAGAAAGGCCAUGUAGUAGCCUUCUAUGGAGGCUCAACAGCAAGGGAUGCACUGGUACUGAAAGAAGCAGAUGUAGGGAUCAGUGAUGAAAAGAGCACCGAGAUGGCCAAAAAGAGCUCUGACAUUAUCAUCAGAUCAUACGAAAGUUUCGUUUCAUUGAUCCCAAUCUGUAUGUAUGGCAGAUGGGCUUACUACAACAUUCAAAGGUUCAUCCAGCUUCAGCUGACAGUCAUGGUUUCCAGCUUAGUGAUAACUUCAGUUGCAACAAUGGCCUUGAGGGAAUCUCCAAUAACCCUAAUUCAGUUGAUUUGGGUGAAUCUGGUUACAUCCAUUCUAGGUGGCCUGAUGCUUAUAAUGGAGCCACAUAGCCAGGAGCUACGCACCUUCCAAGCUGCAGGCAACAGAAAUGCACCAGUCAUAACCAAGGCCAUGUGGGUAUUCAUUUUGACACAAAUAAUAUACCAGGCUUCUGUUUUGCUGGUUUUUCUCUUUAAGGGACAAUCCAUACCAGGCAUUAACAGAAGGGUUAGAAAAGCCAUAAUUUUCAAUAGUUUUUCCCUAUGCCAAGUCUUCAACUAUGUCAAUGCCAUGGUCCUAGAGGGGAAAUGGUCUGAUGGGGUUAAGCAGAAGGGCUGCUUACUGAUUGCGGUGGGGACAGCGGUGGCUGUGCAGGUGCUGGUGGCUGAAAUUUGGGCGAGGUUGAACUGGUUGCAGUGGGCUUUCUGUUUCCUCAUUUCUGUGGUUUCAUUGAGCUUGGGGUUGGCCAUGAAAGCUCUUUCACCCUUCAUGACCAAGUGGUCAUUUAGUUCCAUUUCUUCACAUCUUAGGCACUCGGGAUUUAUGCCUUCACGCCAUGAUUUCUGCCUCAUCGUCUUUUCAUCUUUGUUUUUUCUUUUCUGAUUCUCACAUUGUUUCAACUCAGAUGCAGCCCGGGCUUUUGACCAGUUAGAAUCUUCCAUUAAUUUAACCGGAUAGCUCAUGGCUUUUAUUGAUAAGCUUGUAGGCAUAUUUCCUUGUAUCUAGCUAAUUUGAAUGAUAGAGCCAUUGCUACUCUUCCUAACGAGUAGUUAAAGCAUUCCAUUACUGUGUCUUAGCCAUUGUAAAAUCAUGUGAAAACAGCUGUUAAAAUGCAUGUUUAGACUAGAGUACAGAAUAAAACAGCUCAAAACUACCAAUAAUAACUCAUUCUACUUGGUUUUGAGGAGUUUCUUUUCUUUCAUCUCCUUUGUGUUUUCAUCUGGAUUGGUCUUACACCUUUUUCUUCCAAAAUCUUCAUACCUCUUUCUUCAAAAUCAUAGGGUUUUGGAAGAGAACUCCAUGAUAGUGUGAACUAGAGGAGAGUCACAGCUUGCUAAAUUUGAAUUAUCUUACAUGCAUUGGACUAAAAUCCUAAACGAGUGUGGGGAACUUACAGAGAUGAAUUGGAGGUUCUCAUCAUUUUUGGUAACAAAAUUCAUGGUCCAAUUCCAAAGUGGCUGUGGAACACGAGCAAAGGCAUGGCAGGGGAAUAUAAGAGGAUCCCUGGUAUCUUAACAGUCAAUGAUCUUUCAAGCAACAAGUUCUCUGGAGAGAUUCCGGAAUCUAUUGGGAAUCCCAAUGGGCUUCAAGCACUUAACCUUUCCAAUAAUGCUCUUACAGGUCCCAUCCCCACAUCCUUAGCAAACUUAAUCUCUAAGCACCAGCUUCAUCAAUCCCUCAACAAGGUUCAGCAAGUGAAUUUGAUUGGAAAAUUGUAUUAAUGGGACACAGAAGCGGGCUAGUAAUCGGGGUUUCUAUUAAUGUGAAAACUAUGAUAUUGCAAGUCUUCCAUUUGAAACUGAAAAUUAAGGGCAAAUAGAAAAUCUAUUCUAUGACAUACAAUAUGCAAUAUUUUUGAGUUCAUCAAAUGAUGAACCUUCUAUUUGUCCAUGAAUUCCAUAGGAAAAAGUUAUCUUUUCUCAUUCUCUUCUAUUUUCGUUUCUUCUCAGUAGAGUAUUAGCACUGUUUUUCUGUGUCUGAAAUCUUUUCUUUAUUUAAUACUCUUUACAAAGCAGUUAAGUCUGCUUCCCCAUUCCCAGCCAAAUCCUAAUAGAAGUCUUAAUUAGCCUUCUAACUCUGUUACUUCGGCCUUCUGCAAUAGUUUUUUUUUUAAUUCUAUUAAGCUUGGUGGAAAUCAAUUGCAAAUUGACUAAUUCACAUCCCUGACAUGCAAGAAGCCUGCCACUCACCCAUGAGGCUUUGCAAAGUCUUUUGCAGGUCAUUCACU